rnacentral:lncRNA from 1 species
AGGAAAAUAUUACUCCAUUUUGAUUUAUUUAUUGUUUCUCAUAUAUUUGUAUAAACACAGUACAUUAUUUUGCCGCUCAAAGCAGAAGAGCAGAAGAUACAAUGAUUUAGUUUUGCUCACAACACUACAUAGGAACUCAAUACAAUAUUCACUAAACACUUGUGAAAAGUGCAGAAAGGUACUAAUAGGGUGUCCUAUCAGAAGACACGGUGACUUUAUCUUUACUCACAAUACAGUAAUUUUACCCACAACAAAACCUAGGAACUAAAUGCAAUUGCAAAAUCGGUACUAAGAAGGCAGACUACCAAUGCCCUUUAUGAAGGUUUCCAUGAAGACAGUGGAAUCUUCAUAGGUAGGAGUGACACCCCCAUAUCGAUGACCCCUUACAGCAUCUGCUGAAGCAAUGGAUUUAAGCUCAGCAAUUUCUUCCGGAGUUAGUUUCACUGACAGAGCUUUAAUAUUUUGAUUCAGGUUUUCAAUCUUGGUGGUAUAUUUUGAUUCAGGUUUUCAAUCUUGGUGGUUCCAGGAAUUGGACACACAUCAUCUCCUUGGUGAUGAACCCAUGCUAAUGCAAGCUGAGAUGGGGUGCAUCCUUUCUUUACAGCUAUUUCAUUAACACGUUCAAAUAGCUUUUUGUUAUGCUCUAAAUUUUCAGGUUGGAACCUAGGUAGAAGCUGCAAGAUUUAGAAAACAGCUCAGUACCAAAAGUGAACUGUAAUUGAAUCAUUAAAAAAGAACAUCAUUUUGGAUAAAGCAUGAUUUUAGAGGAGGUUUAAGUAAAAUUCAAUAGACCAGAAAAUAAGGAAAAAGGACUAGUUGAGGGACUUCUCCUAGGCAGAGGAUGUCUAUAGUAAAACAUUUUGGAAUGUUAGAUGUUUUCAACAUAUUUUGGGGUAGGAAAAUCCAAAAUCUAUCUUAAACAAUGAAUUUAUAUUUUUCGGGGAGAUGGGGUACCUCACUGGUUUGUUGUGUGCGGUGCGGUGUAUCUGAAGUUCGGGGGAGGUGAGAAGGGGAGAGAGAGUGGUAACAAUGGUGGAAGGUUAGAAACAAGAGAGGUGUCCUUCAAAAUGAGCUUCACGCCUGCAAAACAGUGAAAUAGAGGUUAGAGGUGAAGCCGGGGUACCCCGGCGUUCACACUCCGACGCUCAAGUUAGCAAACUCAAGCUUUUAUGGCAAAGAGAGCUAGCUAGCCCUCUGUAAAUUAGGGUUUAAGGUUGAAGAAAACCUUUUUUUUGGAGUGUGAGUGUUUUGGGGCGAAUGAGAGCAUGAUGGAGAAUGAAACCUAGGCGCCUUUAUAUAUGGAGUACCUUAGCUGCCACGUGGCGUACCCUUUUUGGCUAACGUCCUUUUACCGCUUUUAUGAUUCUUGGGGCCGUUAUGUGCAUGUUCGCGGCGUAUCUCAUCUUUUGGAAACGUGGCGCGCGCUGGAGAGUGGUCCGGGGUACCUCUGCAGUAGCUGUUGGGUAGGCGGCUAGGGACCACUGUCCUUGGGACAGUGUCCUUCACUUUUGGCAGAGGUAGCAGGCGACUGUCCCCCCUUUUGAUACGACGUUAUUGAUUCAUAAUUCUGACAAAAUCAAAUAAUAUCUUUUAGGAGGCGGAGACGUUUCUCAUGGCGGAUAUUUUCGGAGGUACCUCGAGUUACGUGGGGUACCUCUAAUUGUACGGGGUACCUCUAGUUACGUGGGGUACCCCCUAUUACGCGGGGUACCCCUAUUUGUAUGAGGUACCUCAUAUUAUAUGGGGUACCUCUAUUUGUGUGGGAUACCCCUAAUUGUACAGGGUACCUCUAUUUACACGGUGUUCCUCAAGUCAUGCCGGGCACCUCGGAUUGUGCAGGGUACCCUCCGAUUGUGCUGAAAUCAUUCCAUUGGUUGACACGUGGCGCUCUAUUGCCUUUCCUAUUUUUCCCUCAAACAACAUCCCCUAGUUUCUUUUUGGCGAGAAGUAUUGGAGGCAAAAGAAACUCAUUGUAUGAGUGAUACGUGCCGACGCGGUUGGACCGGAGGGUACCUUGCUUAGCUUCUUUCCUUGACUAAACUUUGUGUACUUCGAACUAAAAAUCUUCUCUUUGUCUUUUCGUUUUCCCGCUUUUUUUUUUUUUUUUUUUUGACGAUGAGAACGAACAGUUGUCUUCAUAUGCCUCUCUCCUUUUUCUUGGGAAGUGGCAGCCGUCUGACACGCAGUUUGAAUUUUGAAAAUACAAAUCUCACUCAAACAUCCCUGAACUCCUUUCUUGGGCAACGUGUUCUGUCAGGUUGAAUUUAAAACUCCUGACGUGUGUCAAAAUUUUGACAAUCCCCAAACGAACUCCAAAAAAUUGAUUAUUUCCAGUAGCCUUUUUCUUCCAUAAUUUCGUCUCCUCUUCGAAAUGCAUCAACAUCAUCACGUUAAAAAUAAGAAUUUCUUUACUUUUUUUUUUUUUUUUUUUUUUUACGCUCGUUCAUCUUCCCUAGGCUCUAUUCUCCCUUUACUCUUUUUCUUUUAUUUCAUUCUUCUUCCGUUUUCUUUCUUUCCCAUUUUCUUUCUCCCUUUUCUUUCUCACGUUUCUCCUUCCUUUUUCUCUCUUUUCCUUCUUCCUUUUCUUUCAUUCUUUUUUCUCUUUCUCUCUCGGCCGGCGUUGAUCUAGUACGUUUUCCGGCGUGGAUCGCGGCUGCUGCAGUGGCGGUUUUGGGCUCCAGAUCUGGUCGGUUCAAGGCGAUUUUCGGCGGCUCACGGCGAGAUCUCAGUCCGGCGAUACACACGGUAACCCCUCCUUCAUCGUUUCUUCAUUUUUCCCUUGGUGCUUUCUCUCUUCCUUCCCUUGUCUUCUCUCUUUUUCUUCUCUUUUUUUUCUUUUCUCUUUUUCGUUUCGGCUUGUGUUUUUCUCUGUGAUUUCCGGCGUCGGUUUGGUGUGGUUGCGGCCGGCGUCGGUUCGGUGGCUGCAGCCGCGGCAGCCGGCUUCGGUUUGGUGGUUUCCGGCGUUAGUUUAGCGGCUGCUGCUUCUCGGUUUUUCUCUUUUUUUUUUUUUUUCGGCCGACGUCCUCCUUUGCAUUUUUCCGGCGUCGGUUCUUCUUGAUGGCGGCAGCUGCGGCGAUCGGCGUCAGUUCGGUGGCUGCGGCGGUCGGCGUCGGUUCUUUUUUUUUUUUUUUUCGGCCGACGUCCUCCUUUGCAUUUUUCCGGCGUCGCUUCUUCUUGAUGGCGGCAGCUGCGGCGAUUGGCGUCGGUUCGGUGGCUGCGGCGGUCGGCGUCGGUUCUUUUUUUUUUUUUUUUUUUCGGCCGACGUCCUCCUUUGCAUUUUUCCGGCGUCGCUUCUUCUUGGUGGCGGCAGCUGCGGCGAUCGGCGUCGGUUCGGUGGCUGCGGCGGUCGGCGUCGGUUCUCGGUGGUUGCAGCCAUUACAGCCGACGCCGGUUACUGCAACUUCUUCGUUCUUCAUUUUAUUUAUUUACUUAUUUAUAAAUAAGUACAUAUAUUUAAGCUUUAUUCUUUAUUUUUAUACUUGCAUAUUUUACCCACUGUUUUUAGUUGCCUGCAGCUUCGUCUCCCCGCGAUUGUCAAUCCUGAUCUGUCGAAUUGGUGAAUCAUAGGUAUCCCUUCUUGUUUCUCCUCUUUUGGCGCAUUCACAGUGGCGCUAUUUUGCUUACUCUAAGAAAAAUUUAUUUUUAUUUUUGUUGUUUUUGUUUUUUUUGUUGGUUGGUGUUUGCAUUUGGUGGUUGAUGUGUGAUGGAUGGUGCUUGGUAUGGAUAUGUUGUUGUUGGGAAAACAUGUGGCUUGUUGGAUGUGUUGUUGGGGGCUUGUGGAUGUGUUGUUGGAUGUAUCGUUGGGUGUAUUGUUGGGGGAAAGUAGAUGGGUAAGAAACACACGGGACCCGUGAUGAAGCGACGUAAAGUUGGGGCUAGUAGGGUUGACAGCCCUCCUGCGGGUUCCCCUUCCCACAUCUCCAUUAGCGAGGGGGAUUGGUCCCCUCCUAGUUCCUCCAAGAGUUGUAAUUCUCGUUCUGAGCCCCCUCCCCCUAGGAGUACUCCUCGUGUCAGCCCACGCUUUCCUAGUAAACGACCUACCCCCAAUCCUCGAAAGAAGGGUAAGUCAACCAAGCCUAAGGUUCCAGCUCGUUCCUCGGACCAGCCGCCUAAAUCUCCCCCUGCCACACCUUCAAAAUCUAGCAACCCUUUUUCCCUAGGCAUUAGGAGGGCUACUUUGGGGGACUUAGAGCAAAUUAGAGCCAAAUACAAUAUUCCUCCGUCUGUCCAGCUCAGGGUACCCCAUGUGGAUGAGAGACCCGAGUGUCCACAGUCUGAUGGGAUUGCUCUCCAUAUCGACCUCUUCGAUCUAGGACUCCGCCUGCCCCUCCAACCAUUCUUUAUGAAAAUGUUUAGUUAUUUGGGGGUAGCUCCUGGGCAGCUGUCUCUUCUAAGGUGGAGGACACUGACGGGCUUACAUGUGUUAUGGUUGGAGGUCGUGAAGCGCGACAUUUCUGUUCGAGAGUUGAGGGGCCUUUACCAAUUCAAGAAACCUAAGGGUCCCGCCAUUGCUUACUUCUCCUCCUAGGGUGAUCAUGGCCACAUCGUUGAGGGGAACCCCGCCUUGAAGAAGGGUUACCGAAAGGGAUGGUUUGUCGCUGAGGGUAGGUGGGGGGCAGAGACUCUAGGUGAGAAGGGCGACCCCGUGGAGGUUCCCCAUUCCUUCAAUGUAGACUGUAAGUAUCUCCCUUACUUAUGGUUCUUUAUCGGAAUCUUUCGCCUGAAUGUCUCGCUAACCUUGAGUUCUUUAUGCUUUCGCAAGUGUGACAUGGGCUAAAGGAUCAUGCCCAGUUCAGGAGGUGGGGAGAGAGGUGAAGAAGUUUGUGGACAGGCUUCGAGGUGCACAAAGGGGUAGUGAUGUGCUAGAUGAGAGCCGAUUGUGGAGAGCGGGGCUGAUUGACCGAAGUCCUCCGCCUGCUCCUGGGGGUGACUCAUGUAUGAUUUGGGUGUCGGGGGGGGUAUCCUAUUAUUACUUAUGGGACUGGGGUACCCCAUUAUCAUUGCAUUCUUCGUUUCGCGUCCCCGCUUUCCAUUUCCUAUUUUUUACUUUUGCAGUACUUAGUACUUGUCCAGCUAACAUAACUUUUGUGCAUUGGGUGCAGUCAUGGAAUCGACGGGUGACGCUUUCGACGCCUUUUUCCAGGCAGUAGUGGGCGGUGCUUCCGGAUCUCAGGAUUCGGCGGUACCCCCGAAAGGCUCCCAACCUCCUCGAGCUCCCGGUCCGAAGGGGAAGUCUCAGGGUACCUCCCACAGCGGGUCGAAGGGUACCCCUCGCUCGAAGAAGAGAAAAUUCGGGCUGGUUUCCGCUUUCCCCGAGGAGUUGCGCGAAGGUGACCUAGACCCGACUUCCAACAAGGAGGUUUCGCACUUGGCUCGCUGUUUCUACUACUCCGCUGAAAAUGUUACCUCCGAGGUUGCUGAGGAGACUGACAAGAUGAGUUUGAGCCAACGCUAUAGUCAAGCACUUAGGGCUACCCAAGAGGUAGGCUUUCCCGGGAUACCCCGGGUGUACCCUUCAAAAAAUUUUUUUUUUUUUACUUGAUCCUAUUGCCACACGUAUAUAUUUAACGUGUCUUUUAUGACCCGCAGGCAUCUUUUCUCCUCAGCCACUGCCUUCCAGACCUUGACUCUCUCGUUGCCGCCCAGUCAGAGGUCGACAAGUUAAGGGGUGAGCUCCAAAGCCGUCAGUCUCGCGAGGAUCAGCUUGCUCCAGAAGUUAAAACUCUGCAAGAACGCAUUGCUGGCCUGUCGGGAGAGAAAGCUAAGGUGGAGAAGGACUGUGAGGAGUUGAGGGCCACCAACGGGGAUCUGCUAUCUCGGCAAAAGACGAUGGCGGAGGAUGCAUUCUCACUCAUCAUGACGGAGGUGUGGAGUGUGGAUCCGGAGUUGGAGGUACCCCGGGUGCAGAAAUUUGUCAACAAGGCUACGAUUCUAAAGACAAUUGCAGAGAGGAAGAAGCCUUCCCAGGCACGGUCGGGUACCCCCUCCGAGUCGCCUCGGGUACCCCAUCAGCUUUAGCCGUUGCCUGCUUCGGAUGCCCCUAGUUCGGCUGCUCAUAUUCCGGGUACAUCGGAGUCCUCUGCUGAUCGCCCUCUGGAGACGGAUGUUGGGGAUGGCGUUCCCCCUUCAGUGUAGCCUUCUCACUGUGCUCUUGUUUUUUUUUUUUUUUUUCGGACCUAUCCACAUUUUGCUAUUUGGACCUUGUUUCUUUCUUUUUGGUUUCUCGAGAUAUUUUGUAUUAUUGGGACUUCUCUUUUGUUAUGAUACCAUGCCAUCGAGUUCUCUUGUACUUUGCAUGCUUGUUAUUCUGCAAAUGAAUGCUUGACUAAACUGUUACCUUGUAAAUGUCUAGGGUACCUCUUUUUUUUUUUUUUUUGAAAUGGGGUACCCCUGGUACCUUAACAAAUAUCCAACAUCAGGCGGAUUCCCUACAAAUGUGGUGCAUGUCCUUCUCGGAAACUAUGGCGGAUUCCCCACAAAUAGGUAAUCAAAAUAUCAUCGCGACAUCUCGAUCAAACGUUGAAAGCGCAAUUGGUCCAACCAAUCACUUUCUUAUUCUUUCGAAGUUUUCUCCGAAUUUUUUGAAUAGCUUACCCCAUACUUUGCAAAAGUACGAGGACGGAGGUGUAGGUGUUCUCAUACCUAAGCCGAACUUCGUGCCGCUAGGGUAUGCCGGUUUUUCUUCACCCUCGGGUCCUCUCUGACCCUCCCUCUCUUUGUUUAGGUAGCUUUAUCAUGCUUCCGCAGAAAGGCUACCCCCGGGCUGUUCCCUCCGUUGCCCAUCUUGGGUUUACAUAUAUCGUCACGAUCUAGGCAUAUCAGGUACCCUGGCUGGUCCUGCGAUAGGUUAGUCAUAAUUGACAAACGUAUGGCGAGAAUUGCAUAUUACCAGAUGCGAGGGUAUAUUAAUGGCGAUAAAUGAAUAUAAUCCGCACUCUAAGAUCGAAGUGGAGAAAAAUAAAUAAAGAACCCACAUCAUAUUUGUUGAGAAAGAACAUGCAUUUAUGGAUAACGAAAGCGUUGAUCAAUACAUGACUUAGCUUUGUUACCCUGAGGAGAAUGGGAGACCGCAAGACCUCCUAUCCCUUUCAUUUGACAAUUAAAGAAACUCUAAAGUUGCAACUGACCAACAUAGGGCAUUUGGGGUACCCUAUUUGGCCUACCACACAAAAACAUUAAAGAAAGCAAAUAACAGCAAAAGACUAAAGGUUGAGACACUGUCCUUUAGUAAUAUUUCCGUAGCAUUACAGCGUUCCAAGGGUGCCUCACAAUUGUGCCAUCCAUGUGGAGUAGCCUGUAUGCACCUGUCCUAACGGGUUUGUCAAUGCGGUAAGGUCCUUCCCAAUUUGCCCCAAAAGUGCCUUCACAGGGUACCCUAGUGUUCUGAGUUACCCUUCUCAAGACCAAGUCUCCUUUCUUGAAUGACCGAGGGCGUACCCUUUUUUCGUAUAGACCCGAAAUGCGAUGCUGAUAUAUGGCUGUCCUCAGUUCUGCUCUAGCUCUUUUUUCAGCCACUAAAUCAAGGUUUGAAGCAACCAAUGAGGUGUUCUCGGCCUCAUCAAAGUAUUCAACCCUGUAAGAGGGUACCCCAAUUUCUGCUGGAAUCACUGCGUCAACACCGAAUGCGAGGGAAAACGGGGUCUCCCUGGUGGAGGUGUUUUGAGUAGUUCGGUACGCCCACAGUACCCCAGGUAGCUCGUCUACCCAUGCUCCCUUUCUUUUUUCUAGCUUCUUCUUCAGGAUACCUUUGAUAAUCUUGUUAACGGUUUCGACUUGCCCAUUAGAUUGGGGUGAGCAGGUGUAGCAAAUCGGUUGGUUAUCCCCAACUCCGAACAAAAGCUUCGAAAUUUUUCAUUAUCGAAUUGCUUACCAUUAUCACUGACAAUUGCAUAGGGGAUUCCAAAUCUGCAAAUGAGGUUCUUCCAAAUGAAUUCGGUGGUUUUCCUUUCUGUGAUGCUUGUUAGUGGCUCUGCUUCCGCCCAUUUUGUAAAAUAAUCUACCGCCACGAUUGCAUGUUUUGCUUGCCCCUUUCCAGUAGGUAACGGUCCAAUGAGAUCCACUCCCCAUAUAGCGAAGGGCCAAGGGGAAGAUAUAACUGUUAGCUUCUCUGGAGGUAGGUGGGGUACCCUGGCGAACCUUUGGCAUUUGUCACAGCUUCGUACCAUAUUCUUGGCAUCUUCCCGCAUAGUUGGCCAGUAGUACCCCUGACGGAGGGCUUUUUGCGCCAAUGAUUGUGCUCCAUAGUGAUUGCCACAAAUCCCCUCAUGUAUCUCCCUCAUGACAUACUCGGCCUCGUCGCUUCCCAAGCAUUUAAGGUAAGGAAGAGUGAAACCUCUUCUGUAUAAGGUAUCCUGGAUCAGGCAAUACCGGGCGACUUUAUAUUUUAAUCUCCUUGCUUCACUUUUAUCUGAGGGGAGGUCUCCGUCCUUGAGGUACCUUAUGAUAGGCUCCAUCCAAAGCACCUCGUUGGACAGCGAUCCUACUUCCAAUGGGGAUUUGGUUGUACCCGGAGAAGGUGACCCCGAAUGCACAUUUUUCAGGGUGAUGAAGGCCGUUUUCUCUUGAUCGGGUUCGUACAUCGGGAUUUGGUUGUACCCGGAGAAGGCGUCCAUAAAACUAAGCAUCUCAUGCCCCGCUGUUGCAUCAACCAGCUGGUCCACCCGGGGAAGCGGGAAGCUAUCCUUGGGGCAGGACUUGUUCAAAUCGGUGAAGUCCACGCACAUACGCCACUUUCCGUUUGAUUUCUUGACAAGAACAAUGUUGGAUACCCAAUCGGGGUACACUACUUCCCGGAUAAAUCUCGCUGCUAAUAGGCGGUCUACCUCUUGUUCAAUUGCAUCGUACCUCUCUUGGUUGAAGGCGCGACGCUUCUGUUUGACUGGUUUAUUAUGUGGGCUGACAUUGAGUUUGUGACAAGAGAGAGAAGGUGGGAUACCCGGCAUAUCCGAGUGGGACCAAGCGAAUACAUCGUGGUGCUCACGUAGGAAGGUGAUGAGUUUCUCUCUUUGUUCCUCCGAGAGGUUGGAGCCUACUUUCACCGUCUUUGUUGGGUCGGUGGCACAAAUCGAGACUGAAAUAAGGUCUUCAACUGGGGUACCCCUUUUUUCAUCUUUCAAUAUUCGGGGAUCCAAAGGUGCCUCAACUUCACAUCUGGGCUCCUCCUGGUCCCUGUGGGGUACCCUCGAGCUAUCCGCCGCAACUGCUUCUACACUCAUUGGUGAGGAUUCCAACUGCUCUCGUGGGUGGGCUACCUGAGGAGAUUUUUUUAGCACUGCUCUCCGCUGUCUAGCAAGUGCUCGCUUUGAGGGGAAAGGUGUGGGCUGGCUGCCACUGGGGUAUCCCUUCAUUGGCGGAUUGGAAGCUAUUUGGUAAGUGACUUUGGAGGUCACGGAAUAACAUCCACGAGCCGAUUGCUGGUCCCCUUUAAUAGUGAUAACUUCUUGGGCGGCUGGGACUUUCAUGGCGAGGUAGUGCAUGGAUACCACCGCUUUAGUUGCUACUAAAAACGGCCUACCCAAUAUAAUAUUGUAGGCACCCGGGUGAUCUACAAUAAGAAAAUCAAUCAUAUGAACGACAUGGUGAGGUACCUUACCAAGUGUAACAGGCAGCGUAAUGAUGCCUUUUGGUAUAACCAUAUCUCCGGCGAACCCAAUGAGAGGCGUAGCAUAGGGGGUGAUCUUUGGCGACUCAAUCAAUAGUUGAUCCAAGGCGCUUUUGAAAAUGAUGUCAACGGAGCUGCCGGUAUCUACGAGAGUUCUUGCUACCUUACCAGUGGCAACCUUCAACGUAAUUACAAAGGCAUCGUCGUGGGGGUACGAGAUGCCCUCCGCAUCUUUUUCUGUAAAAAGGAUAGGCGGGGGAUGGUGGGGUACCUUUGGUGUACCCCAUUGAUUAAGGUUGACUUCUCUGCCCAUAUCGGUGGUUAUCGACAACGAUCUACCAUAGCCUUUGAUAGCCCUCCUAGAUUGGCCCGCCAAGGUCGGUCCGCCCAUGAUCAUCCGAACAUACACGCCUUUCUUAUGUCCAGGGGGUACUUCUCGUUCAGGACUGCCAUCAGCUACCCGCUUGCCCUUAUCCUGCUCCGCGGAUUUCCUCAUGCCAGCAACAAAUUCUUUGAGGUACCCGCUGAGAAUCAAAGAUUCAAUUUCCUCUCGCAAGGUGAAACACUCGGCUGUGCUGUGACCAAAGUCUUCAUGGAACUCGCAAUACUUCAGACUACGCUUCAUGUUGGGGUACUUCUUCAUUGGCUUAGGAGGACGGAGGAGGCCGCUAUCCCGAAUAUGGUAGAAGAUCUGCUCUGGGGAUUGAUUCAGUGGGUGGUAAGAUUCGUACCGAGGCCUCGGUGGUGGCUCUCGCUAAUCCGGUGGUGGCGGUCUUGGAGGUUGGGGUACCCUUAAGGUACCCUGAGGGUUGUACCCCCGUCCUCGCGGGGCAACCCGUGGAGGGCUCCGUGGUUGGGGUACCCUCGGUAUUGGGGCCUCCAUCCUUUUAGGCUUUUCCUUGUUCUUUGUAACAUCGGCCUUAUCUUCUUGGCGCUUCAAUUGACAUUUUUCGUCCAUCUCCACCUGCUGCAACGCCCGGGAACGGGCUUCCCCAUAUGAAAGUGGGCGCUUCUUUUGAAAAGAACGCCAUAAUUUGCCCAGCCUCAAAUUUUUCUCAAAAUGGGUCAAUGUGUAUUGGUUUCCAAAUGCUCCGGUUUGCAGCACCUCUUGGUGGAAACGACUCACAUACUCCGCCAAAGGCUCGGCUUCCCCUUGCUUGAUAAAGGCAAGUUUGAAGGCUACCCUAUCUUGGGUGGAUGCAUAGGAAAACUCUUUAGUAAAUUCAGAUAGCAAUUGGUGUAAGGAAGAUAUGCUACCCGCUUUCAAAGAGCGAAACCAUGACUUCGCGGGGCCCGUGAGUGUGUGUGUAAACAUCCUACACAUGGCGCUCUCAUCUACACCCUUGAUAAGCAUUUGGUCGCGGUAUAACUCAGCAUGCUCUGAGGGAUCAGUGGUACCAGAGUAUUGGGGUAUCUGAGGCAUGGCGAACGCCUCGGGGAGAGCUGCCGUCCUAAUCUCCAUAGUGAAUGGUGACUGGUAGGUCAGUGGCGUUGGUGCAGCUGUGAUGUUUUGCUUCUCGGAGAGGAGCUUCACUUGGGCUUCCAGGUUCUCCAUCUUUUCUACAAGUUCGAGGGGUACCCUCGGUGUACCCGAUGAUGUCGCCGCCAUUUGAGAAGCCCUUUUGGCGUUUAGCUUCUCACGGAGAUCCUCGUGGGUACGCUUUGCACGCCUCGUACCCUGGCUGCUGCGGGAAUUGCAAGAGGCGGUGGAACGCUCGUCGCGAGAGCCCACGGUUUGAAACUUAGAACGGGUACCCGAUGGCCUAGGCUUUGGCUUGCUGGCCUCGGGUACCCCUCUUCUGACCAUAGCUUGGUCGUCCGUUUGAGGUGGUGGAGCUUCUAGCGUCACUGGUGGAAGCCAACUUUCGGGUGCUCGAGAUCCGACCGCCCUAAGUAUUGCGUGGGCAAGAUCCUCAAAACGCUUGUGCGAAAUAGGUUCCUCUUCUUGGCGAACACCCGUCGAUUGCUUGAUACCUUUGCCCUUGCUGACGCGGGCUACCCUUCUUGUGGGAUCACUACCUUCACUGCUGCUGUCAUCUCUCAUCCUUGUAGGAUCCCCCAUUAAACCUUCGGGAGGUACGUCGGGUGCCAUGUAUUGGAGUACACACAACAACUAGUUUGGUAACCGCGAAGGAGGCUUUUUGUGCGAAUCCCCACAGACGGCGCCAAUUGUUUUCAACAGAUUUUGGGGUAGGAAAAUCCAAAAUCUAUCUUAAACAAUGAAUUUAUAUUUUUCGGGGAGAUGGGGUACCUCACUGGUUUGUUGUGUGCGGUGCGGUGUAUCUGAAGUUCGGGGGAGGUGAGAAGGGGAGAGAGAGUGGUAACAAUGGUGGAAGGUCAGAAACAAGAGAGGUGUCCUUCAAAAUGAGCUUCACGCCUGCAAAACAGUGAAAUAGAGGUUAGAGGUGAAGCCGGGGUACCCCGGCGUUCACACUCCGACGCUCAAGUUAGCAAACUCAAGCUUUUAUGGCAAAGAGAGCUAGCUAGCCCUCUGUAAAUUAGGGUUUAAGGUUGAAGAAAACCUUUUUUUUGGAGUGUGAGUGUUUUUGGGCGAAUGAGAGCAUGAUGGAGAAUGAAACCUAGGCGCCUUUAUAUAUGGAGUACCUUAGCUGCCACGUGGCGUACCCUUUUUGGCUAACGUCCUUUUACCGCUUUUAUGAUUCUUGGGGCCGUUAUGUGCAUGUUCGCGGCGUAUCUCAUCUUUUGGAAACGUGGCGCGCGCUGGAGAGUGGUCCGGGGUACCUCUGCAGUAGCUGUUGGGUAGGCGGCUAGGGACCACUGUCCUUGGGACAGUGUCCUUCACUUUUGGCAGAGGUAGCAGGCGGCUGUCCCCCCCUUUUGAUACGACGUUAUUGAUUCAUAAUUCUGACAAAAUCAAAUAAUAUCUUUAAGGAGGCGGAGACGUUUCUCAUGGCGGAUAUUUUCGGAGGUACCUCGAGUUACGUGGGGUACCUCUAAUUGUACGGGGUACCUCUAGUUACGUGGGGUACCCCCUAUUACGCGGGGUACCCCUAUUUGUAUGGGGUACCUCAUAUUAUAUGGGGUACCUCUAUUUGUGUGGGAUACCCCUAAUUGUGCAGGGUACCUCUAUUUACACGGUGUUCCUCAAGUCAUGCCGGGCACCUCGGAUUGUGCAGGGUACCCUCCGAUUGUGCUGAAAUCAUUCCAGUAAUAGUUUUGAGAUAAUGAAACAAUUUUUUUCCAUUUUUUUUUUAUCUCUAUCCGACUUAAGGGGUAUUAUCAUGUAUAUAAAUUGAAUCCGACAUGUUAAAUUUUUCUGUCAAUCAACGAAGUCAUUGCAUAGAUAAUUCCCCAGAUUUUCAAUGCAAAGAAAGCCUUGCUCAUGUUUGAAGAGGUUAAUGAGCAUAAUAUGAGGGACAAAAUUGAAAUCUAUGAAGAAUUACAGAACUAUAGAGUAAAACUAAACAAGAAUUAUUAUUGUAUUGCUGGAAAUGAGAAUGAACGUGUAAUAAAGAAGCAAGUAAUGCAAAUAUGACGAAAGUAAAACUGCCUGAUUAGUAAACACCAAACAUUUAGCCAAUGACGAAUAAGUUUUGGUACACAAGUCAAUUCGAAAAAGAUUACAGUGUAUUCAGUUGUUAGUAAUAGAAUUUUCAUUUUUCCUCAAUCUUCUCCAUGCAAUCUAUACACAGGUAACUUCAGUGUAAUUAGAAGAUCGAAAUGAACUAGUAGAAUAUUUAAGAAACAAAAUUCUUAAACAAGUCCUACUGGGUUCGGUUAGAAUGAACUAUAACUAUGGUUCUAGAUAAAUAUCAGAGGUUUAUAAGAUAAAAUAGUAUGCAAGUCACUGUAGAGUAUCUUGAGAGAAAGUUUUAACCAUGCUUGUAGGCAUCGAAUAAUAAUGGUAGAAAACAUUUUAAGGCCCAAUGAACAUGCAUAAAAAAUGGUAAUAAAUGCAUGGUAGGCUUACGGACAUGUCUAGAAUCAUCCGGUGCAAUGCUUUCAACCAACUUUGGCCCGGAUGAAAGAAACCCACGUCCUAGAGGACUGUAAGCAACAAUUCCAAUGCCAAGUUCCCUGAGCAGAGCAACCACCAAAAUUGCGUUAGCAUGCAAAUGUUAAAUCAUCUACUCAUAAUUUUUUUUCCUUUCAACUAGGUCAAAACAAUUCAUUUGGCCCAAAUAAUGUCUUACCUGCAAGUAGGAACAAUCUCUUCCUCCACAUCUCGUGACCACAAGGACCAUUCCAACUGCACAGCUGUUAUUGGAUGGACGGCGUGAGCUCGUCUAAUUGUUGAAGCAGAAGCCUCCGAUAGACCUAUAUACUUUAUUUUACCCUCUUCAACUAGUUUCUUGAGUUCCCCAAUCUUACAAAACAACACAAGUAAAAGAAUUAGUACAUGAUAACAGAAACCUCACCCACCGAAGUGACCCAUGUCUGUAUUUUUAAAUAUUCUGUGUUUCAUAUUCAUUGGCAGCCGAGCUACCCAGAGGCUAACAGACUAAUAUAGUUUAACAUGCAUGAUUGAGACAAAUAUAUAAAUUAAAAACGACAAACCGUGACUUCAAUGGGAACUUUAGUGUCAAUGCGAUGUUGGUAAUAAAGAUCAAUACAGUCAACAUCCAGACGCUUCAAGCUGGCCUCACAUGCAGCUCUUACAUAAGCAGGAUCCCCACAGUAUGAGUACUGGCCAUCCUCAUAUCUGAUACCAAAUUUAGUAGCCAAUUCAACUCUUCCUCUGUACCCUCCUUUCAGAGCCUAAUCCCAAAACCAAAUUAAUCAAAGCCAAUAUAUUAUUAUUUGCCAAUUCCAAAUAUACCCUUUUGAAAUUAAAGGAAGGAAAUAGAAGAUAAAUUAUAUUACCUUGCCCAGAAGGAUUUCAUUUGUGUGAGGUCCGUAAGAAUCGGAAGUGUCAAGUAAAGUGAUGCCACUGUCAAUGGCAUGGUGGAUCAAGGCUAUCAUAUCGGAUUCGGGCUUCGGGGGCCCGUAGAAGGCGGACAUGCCCACGCAUCCUAAGCCUUGCGCUGAAACCUCUAGACCUUGUGAACCCAGCUUGAUUCUCUUCACUGCCCCCGCCAUUUCUCUUCUAUUAGCCUCUCAACUUUCUGUUGAGUGAGGUUGCUGUUUCUAAGCGAACAAUCUAUAUAUGUAGAUAUAUUGCUCUGCGGGCCUCUCAAAACUCGUAAUGCUAACGUAAUGGAAUAUGUUAGCAUUUACCUCAUUAACUUUACAAAUCACACAAGAGAGUAGUUAGAUCAAUAAUCGAUACGUCAUAAUGUUAUUUAUUAAUUAUAGGAAAAAUGAUAAACACAACUCCAACAUUUAGAUAAAGGGACAAAAAAAAGUAAUUUUUUUUUUUUUUUUUGUGAAGCUUAAGGCCCUAUUUGGUAUUGUUUUCCAAAUGUUGUUUUCUUGAAAUAAAAAUAACAAUGAAAAUGUUAUUUUUAAAUUUUAAAAUAUAUUCAGUAUCAUUUUUGAAUACUUAUCUAGUAUUUUCUGAAUUUAGAAAAUAAAAAAUUAGAUUUGAAAACAAUAUUGUACGCACCCUAAUAUUUUAAUUAUCUCUUUUGAACUAUCUGGCUCUAUAGCAAUUUGUAAGGGAAAUAUUGUCUUUUGAUCAGUCUAUUAUCUUAGAACUAGGGUCUAAGGUCAUAUUUGGUAUUGAAGUAUGUACCUUUUGAGUUACAAUUGUUAUGAAAAAAAUACUGUAACUAUAAAGUAAAAGUUAAUAGUAUGUAAUAAAUAUAAUUUUUAAAUAAUAAUUUUUUAAAAAUGAGUAAAGAUAUAAUAAAUUUUUCAUCAUACAAGUAGAAAAUCAAAUCAAUUUAGUUUUCAAGCUAUACCAACUAGUGUUUAUCAAAUACUUUAAUGCUAUUUUUUUUAUCAAAUACUUUAGUGCUAUUCUUUUUACACUACAACCGUUCAACCUCAAUCCUAAAUAGGACAUAAGUAUGGAAAUUACUCGAUGAAUCAUCUUUUAAGUAUUUGAGUGAGAUAUUGUAGUGAUUUUUUUUUCUAAAUACUUGAAAAUUAAUCUAAUCUGCAAUGAGAUUCUUGCAGACUUCUUGUCGUAACUAUAUUGUCAAUAAUGAUAGUCACAUGCUUACAAUUUUUUUUAUGUGUUUUUUAAAGAAUGGGUAAAAUCCAAAUCAAUUUUUUUCUUAUAAUCUUUGUAAGAUUGGAACUCCAAUAGUCAAUCAAAUGAAACUAAUUAAAAAUUGGUUAAAUCCUUAGGUGGUCAAUCAAGUGCUUACAUGUAAUAACUAAAAUUAUAGAGAACUUAUAAUUACUUUUGUAAGCAACCCAAAGUAUAUUAAGACUAACUUGAAAUUCUAUCACGUCUUAGUAAAUACUCAAAAAAUUUACUUCAUACUGUUGAGAAAAUGAGUAAAAAAAAGCCAUGGAAUUCAAAUAGUGUCCUCAAUAUUAUUGUGAAUACCUGUCAGCAUUGAUUAAUUAGUCCAAUGGCUAUUUUUUUUUUUAGAAGAUAAGCAUGUAUUUGAUAUUAUUUAUGUUUUGCUAUUUUUCAUUUUCCAAGAAAAAAAAAAGUGUAAAAUUUGUUUGGUACACUUAUUUUAUGGUAUUUAAUUUCAAGUAAGAAUGUUUAAUCUCAUUCUCUAACUUUAGAGAAGAAAAUUGGACAACAAGGCAUUCAUGAUUUUCAAUUUUCAUUUUUUAAAUGGGUACUACAAGUACCACUUGAACAACAACAAAAUAAAAAUCAUGUCUGUCAUUAUGUGGGCCCAUUACCAAUAUUUAUUUUAUAAUCCAAUUCUAAUUAUCUUUAAUACUUUUUAAUUAUUUUUUAUUCAACAAUACUAAUUGUAUUAUUUGGUAAUUUUUAAAAGGUUCUCUAUUAGUAAAAUUUAUUUAUUAUUUAUUAUUUAUUCUAAUAUUAAUGAUACUCCCUAAAAAAUCAUUUUAUCUAAUUUUUUAUAAUUAAAAAUUUUAAAUAAUAAAAAGUAAUUGAAAUUUCAAAUAAUAAAAAAUUAAUUGAAAUAUAUUAUGAUUAAAAAUAAUUUUAGUUCAUCUAAAUAUUAUAUCAUAGUAUGUAUUUUUUUCUCACUCUCUUUUACCGUCUUCACUUUUUAAACAACUCAAACAUUUUGAAAUUUUCAUUUUAUAAGUAUAUUUUAGAAAGAAGGCUCAUUCUAUUAUGCCUUGAUUAACGUAACGGUAUCAAUACUGUAAUUAAACAUAAUUUAUGUAAAUAAAAUAUAAAACUUGUAAAUCAAUAUUAAUUGUAAAAUACAUAAAUUUUAGAAAUUAAACAUAAAACUUGUAAAUUGAAGGUAAAAUGAGUAAAUUAAUAUAAAACUCGUAAAUUGAUAUAUUAUUAGUAAAUAAAACAAAAACUUGUAAUAUAACAUAAAACUUGUAAAUUAACAUUAAGUGCAAAAUAAAGCACAAAUGUAAAUGGAGGAUAAAACAAGUAAAUUAAUAUAAAACUAGUAAAUUAAUGUAUUACUAGUAAACAAAACAAAAACUUGUAAAUAUAACUUAAAGCUAGUAAAUCAACAUUAACAAUAAAAUAAAGGGUCACCCUAUGUUAUGUUGAGUGUAACAUACACACACUCACAGCAACAGUAACAAGUCUCAUCAUUAACAUUGUUGCUGUGAGUGUGUGUAUGUUACACUCAACAUAACAUAGCAGUGGCCUAAAAUAAAACAAAAAUUUUAGAAAUGAAGUAUAAGACUUGUAAAAGGAAAGUAAAAACAAGUAAAUUACUAUAAAAUUAGUAAAUUUAUGUAUCAUUAGUAAGUAAAACGAAAACAUACAAAUAUAAUAUAAACCAAGUAAAUCAAUAUUAAGUGCAAAAUAAAACAUAAAAUUUGUAAACCAUGCUCAAAACUUAUGAAUAAAAGGUAAAAUAAGUAAAUUAAUCUAAGAGUUACUAACAAAAAAGCUCUUAUAAACUAAAAACUCAUUAUAAUAUUUAUUACCUUAUAUAUUUAAUGAUUUUUUUAAAUUAAAUUGCAUAAUGCUAGUUUUGCAUUUAUGUAGUACAUGUGAUGUUUUAUUAAGGAUGAAAUUUAUUCGCAGAAUUGGAUUUUGAAAAAAAAAACUAUUUUAAUAUCUUUCAUAGUUGUUGUAACAUGAGGUUAUUUUGCAUCCUUCUACACUUCUGCAACAACAACCCUAAAUGGUCUCUUAAGUACAAGUAAAAAGUUUGAAACUACAUGAAGCAUACAUAGAACUCAAAAUUAGAUAUAAUUUUAUUGAUAUAUCAUAUAUGUGUCUAGUAAUAUGAGAAUAAUUAUUUAUUUAUUUAUUCAUUUGCUUGAUCCACGUCUAGAUAAAUAAUUGCACUUAAUUAACUUGUGUAAUAAACAGAUAUCAUUAUAGAAAAUGGGAAAAAUUAUACAAAUGUCAUUAAAUAAAUAUAGAAUUUAUGGUUAAACCAAUUCAAUAAAAUAUAUUUCACUUUUUUUGUACAAUUUUUGUUUAAUUAAUGAGUAAUUUUUUCUUUAUAUUUUUGUAAAUGAAUACAAUAUUUUUCACUAAAAUUGUGCAGAAGCAAUGUUAAUUUUUUAAAUAAUUAAUAAUCUUGUAUGAAGUUACUUGUUUUACUUUAUAUUUACUAAUUUUAUAUGAAACUAGUAAAUAUAAAGUAAAGCAAGGAAAUUCAUACAAGAUUAUUAAUUAUUUAAAAAAUUAUAAAAACAUUAUUUGAAUGGCAAUACCAAUUGCACCCUAGUCCGUACAAUUUUACGUCAUUCAAUGUUGAUAACGUGGCUGGCACAAAGGCCAAAUCAAAGGCUGAGCGGGCAUCACAUGGGCCUUUGCCUGGAUCCUAACCUUCGCAAGCAAAGGCCCACGAUUCUAUCACCCAUUAAUCCUUCUAGAGAAUCUGCUAUAGAUGUAAAUGGACCCUCACUAUCUUUUUCACUGUUUUGAUUUUUCAAAAUUCCUUUUUUUUUAUUAAGUUUAAUGCAUUUUAUUAUCUCCCUGAAACUAUUUGGCUAUGGUAAUUGGCAAGGGGAAAAUUAUCUUUUAAACAUUCUAUUACCUUAAGACUACGGUCAAGUAUUGGAAACAUGGUGAAUCAUUUUUUAGGGAUUUCAGUCAACUUAUAAACAUUAUAGAGAUUGAUUUUUUUUUGCGAAAUAUGCGAAAAUAAAUGCAGCGCUACGAGGUUCUUGUAAACUAUUAAAUUCAAAUCAAUAAAAGUAGCAAUAAUAGCGUAAGUCCAGAAUCUAUCAUAUAUCAAUACCACUCUCAUACAGUUGUUGUUAAAUCAGGCCUAAAAAAUAUUUUUUUUUCUUUAAUUUAAUAAAAUUAUCAAAAGUCAGAUUUUUUUUUCUUGAUUACAUAAAAAUGCAUAAAAGUAGAGAAACACCUUAAAUUUCCUACUGAAGAUUUGAAGACAACUACUUUAAUUUUUUCCACUACCAUUAUUGGGAUCUGUAGGAUAUGGUUGUAGUUUUCUCGUCUAUCAUCAAUAGUCUCCCUCGCACAUGAGGGCAUAUAGAGAACUAUAAUUCCCAUUUCCUCUUCUUUAUAUAGGCACUUAUUAAAGUCAAGAUAUAACUAGAAACUAAGCUAACAAAGGGUAUCCAUGAACUUCCUAAAUCCAACUUCAUAGUUAAGUCUCAGUCAUAUUAUGACUCCCUAAAACAACUAAGUUAACCUUAAGCUAUUCUACUAAAAGUCUGAUGUCGCACUCUAAUGAACCAUGUAACAAAUAAAAGCCUAAUUAAUUAAGACUUCUUUUAAUUAAUAUUAGACAUGAUUUUAAACCAAUAAUUACCACUUAAUUGACUCUUUAUUUGAUCAUCUUAAUUAAAUCCAGCCCAUGAUAAAUUUUCUUUCUUUGUAAUUACAUAUAUAUCCCUUAGUCACAAUUUAUUCUAACUAUCACUGUUAAUAUAUUUGUAAAUAGAUUACAAAUAAAUGUGAUUAAUUAAUAAAUAAAUUAUUGAAUAAAUUAUAACCACAGAUUUAAAUGAUCAAUAUAGGGAUGGCAAAAUGCAAGCUUAGACUAGGCUUUUUCAAGCCCGUUAGAGGGAAAGUAUAAGGGCUAAGCUUGGGCCGGGGUUGGGUUGGGUUGGGUUGGGUUGGGCUUUCACUUAUUUUUUUCAUUUUUUAAAAAAAUUGUUAAAAACUUGAAAUGAAUUAAUAGUCAAUGAGUUGUUAUAAUCGGCAACGAAAUAAAGAAAAUGAAUGUUUCAAAAUAAAAUAAUAAAUAAAGAAAACACAACAAAAAAAAGUGUAGAGAUUUAAAUUUUUUAAUACUAGAUUUUUUAAUUCAAGUAUCUUCUUAAUUAAUUAACAUUUAAAAGAGAGUUUAUUAUUAUAAUUUUAGAUUUUUUGAUUCAUUAUUGAUAUAUAAAUUAGGGACUUAAGCUUUCUUUCUUUUUUCCAUUAUUUCAUAAAAGUUUAAUUUAUUAUUCAAAUUUCUAAUUUAUUUUUUGAAAAAAAAAUAGAGGGCGUGUGCCUAGAUUUUUUUUUACUUAAGCCCUUAUCCAGACCGUUCAUAUGGAGGCAUGAGCCAAAUCUCAUAGCAAUGGGCCGGGCUCAUCCCUAUGAUCAAAUACUACAAAUAGCUUAGGUAAGCAUCAUUUGUAUAGAUUCCAUCUUGUAAGUAUAUAUAUUUCUAUAAUCCAUGAAAUUAUAUCUCCAAAUUAUUAACGUUUUGACCGUUUAUACAAAUCUUACUUUGUGACGACUCAAAAGACAUAAUACCUGAAUGUGCGCUAGACUCCUUUACCCUUUAUUAGCGUUAUAUUACCCACUCAGAAUUAAGAUCGAUCAAGCUUAUUAAAGCUUGUAUAGAUUAUGAUUAGCAACAUAUGUUAGAUUAGAUCAUAAUUCAUUACAAUCUUGUUCAUUACAUAUAUAUCUCAUAUACAUACUAAUUUUUCUACUUGAAGUCUCUACUUCAGUAAUUAAGAUAAAGUUACUUAACAAUAAAAAUACAAAAUAUACAGCCUUAUAAAAAUAAAAUGACAUUUCAUUAAUGGAUGUGAAUAAUCUUUUAUUUUUAAAGAAUUUGUGAUUUUUAUCUUCUAUCUUGACAUCAUAUGUCCAAUAUAUAAAUCAAAUACUUUAUAAAUAAGGGCUAAUAAUGUAUGCUCAAAUAAAUAAUAAAUAAAUAAAUUUUAAUAAAUUCAGAAAUUUUUAUUUUAUUGCAUGCUGUAAGAGUACAAAAUAAUAAUGUACAAAAUAAUAAUAAGUGUACUAGUAAUUAUAUUGUCAAUAAUGAUACUCAAAUACUUAUAACUUUUUUUUUGUGUUUUUUUAAAAGUAAAGGGUGGUAAUACCAAAUCAGUUUUUUCGCAUCUAACCUUUGAGGAUUCGAACUCUAAUUACCAAACAAAUAAAACUACAUGGAAAUCAGCUAAGCCUAGGGCGGCCAAUCAAAUGCUUACAUGUACUAAGCAAAACAAAAGAGAACUUAUAAUUACUUUUGUAAACAACAAAAAGUAUAUUGAGACUGUUUAAAAAUCUAUUACGCCCUAGUAAAUACUCUAGAGUCUACUCCAUAUUAUUGAGGAAAAUGAUUGAAAAGAAAAAAAAUGGAAUUCAAAUUAUUAUCCUCGGUAUUAUUGAGAACAACUGUUACCAUUGAUCUACCAGCCCAAUAGCUAUUAUUAUUAGUUUUAUAUUAUAAUUCUCUACUGAAAAAUACAAUAUUAUCUCAUUUAGUGUUGAUGUAUGUGGCACAAAAACCAAAUCAAAGGCUACGCCACCUUCACCGGGGCCCUUGCCCAGGUCCCACCCACCACAACAAAAGGCCCGCAAAAAAUUGUUUAUAUUAUAUAUUUAUUGGGUAGUGAAUGGUGAUAUUUUUUAUUUCUUAAAAUACUAAUUAGAGACCAGGUUUGCCCAUACUCGCAUGUGUAAGAGAGAAUCCAUUAUUGAGAAGAAAUUAUCAGUUGGAUUUAGGAGGAGUUAUUUAUGAACAAUAAACUUUUGGCCAAAUAAUCCAAAUAUCAAACAAAUUUGAGGGAAUGCAAAGUGUAGACGAGUAAAAAUUCAAUAAAUGACUAAAGAUUCAAGAAAACAUGAGUAUUAUAAAACUGAUUAAAUUCAUAUUGAGUUUGAAGAUGGAAUAAAACACCAGUAUAAUUGUUUUCAAAUAAUCAUAUGUCUAUAAUUGUAAUUUAUGUUAUUGAUAUUUUAGUAACAAUUAAGUUUAUUAAAAUGUGAGUUUAAUGAGUAACCUAGAGGGUUAAUUAGCCUCAACCUUUAAAAGGUGUCAAAAGGCUACUCUUUGUAUAAUAUAAUAUACUCCACUUAAACUAACCCACUUAAUACUAAAAAUUAACCUUGUAAUGUUUUCUGAAUUAUUUUAGUGUUCAAUAUCAACAAUCAUGAUGUUUUUGAAUGAAACAUACAAAAUGUUUAUAAUGUAAAAAAGAAAUUAGGGUUAUAUGAUGUAAGAAAUUGUUGAACUAAUACAUGUAUAGAUGUAAAUAGGGUAGCAAAAUGAAUUCAUGAAUUAGGUUAAAAGUCGGUAAAUUCAAUAUAAUGAAUUGGGUUAGAAGUUUGAAACUCCAAAGUUUCUAACUUCGAUGUUUAAAUUACAAAUUCAUUAACAAUAGAAUAAACUAACCAUCCUAACUCUAAAAUUUCAACCGAACCAGUGAGCUUAAAUCCACAUUCAUAUUUUGAAUUAGGGUCCAGCUACAAUAAAAAUAUUGUUUCAUACACUAUUUUUUGUCUUUUUGUGAUCCAACCAUUGGAUUCAACUCAAGAGUUGCAAAAGCUAUUCCAACGGCAUGGAUGGACUUGCUUGGUUAUUAACGAUGCAGUCCCUUCUGUUUACUAAAAAAAAUAAGGAAAGAUUAAAUUUCAAAAUUUGACACAUUAGUCCAGUAAAAUAUUUUAUUGUAAAUGAACACAUUUAUAUAUUAAAAAUAUGGAUGGAUUAUUUUAAUUUGCUAAAACACUCUCCACUUCCAUUUACUUAAAAUACCAAUUGGAUUAUAAUAAUAUUAUCUUGUUUUUUGUGUAAUACAAUAUUGGAUAAGGUUUUAUAAAAUUUUUGACAAUAUCAAAAUGAAAAAUAAAUAAAUAUUAAAUAAAUACUUGGAUAGUCAUUUAAAUUUCAUUAUGGAGUUUAUAAAUAAUAUUUUCAAAAUAAUAAAUUUCUAUAUGUAAAUUUGAAAUUAUGUAAAAUUAUUUAUUCCUUAUUACACGUAUGAAGCUGAUUAAUUAUUUAUUUAAUGUGAAAACAAAUGCAUUGUAUAAUAUUUAUUCUAUUACUUAAAUUUAAAAUUAUAAAGAAUGAAACUUAAAUUUAAAAUUGUAAAGAAUGAAUAAUAACUUAAAUUAAUAGAUUAUGGGAGGAUACCUUUCAAAAAAAUUAAAAUUAACAAACUUUUUAGGCUUCUAACGUAACAUUUUUAAUUUUUGUUGUUAACAUAAGACAAAAAUUAAGUCUAAAAACCUCAUUCUAGGGUCUCCUUAGGGUAAAAAAAAAAAUCAUUAUCACAUGAUAAUUUGGUAGCCUAAGUUGUAUUAUUUUUAGUUUACUUAUUCAUGCCAAACACCUUAUUGAGAUUAAAUUUUAGUAAAGUAAACCCAUCCCACCAUCUUUAAUCACAUUCAAUAGGCCCUAAUUGAUUAGAUCUUGUUAUAUAAAGUAAUAUAUAACUCUUUCUUUAUUACAAUGGUAAAGAAAAAAAAACAUAAACACAAUAUAUUUCUUUUGAGAAAAUGCAAGUAUUAUGUUUUUUAGGUUUUGUGUUUAAGAAAUUAAUCUAAUUUAUGUAGUUAGAAGACUCUUAUUUUUUAUGUUUUAGAAGAAUUAUAUGUUUGAUAAUGAAUAAAUUAAGAUUUAAAGUAGGAAAACUAAUUUGAGAAGGAGAUAGAGAGAAUAAAUUUUUUAGAAUUUGAAAAUUAUUAUAUUUUAAUUGGGGCUUAUUACAUAAAAUUAUUAAAACAUAUGGUUUUUAUUAUUUAUAGAAAACAAUAGGGAUUGCUAAAGAAAACACUAAAUAAUUAUUUUAAUUUGAAAUUAUUAUAUUUUAAUUGGGGCUUAUUGCAUAAAAUUUUUAAAAUUUAUAGUUUUUAUUAUUUACAGAAAACUAUAGGGACUGUUAAAGAAAAUACCAAAUUUGAGGGUUUGGUACAACGGUUGCAAAGUAGUUUUGUCCUGAACUAGUGAGACUUUUUUUUUGGCAUAAUUAUAUUUAUUGUAUCAUUCAAUAAAUGGAUCUUAAAAAAAUAAACAAAUCAGUGGGACAUUCAAUUUGUUCACUUAACAAAUUCAAUCAAAAUUGUCCAUUUAUUAGACGAAUUAAUUUUUCAAACCUAAAUGCUUUUAAUUCAAAUAGAAUCAAUAAAUCCUUAUCUAUAUUAUUACCCCUAGAUGUAAACCCUUUUUAUGAGAAAAAAAAGGGUGUUUAUAUGAUAGAAGAAACUAUUGAAUUGUAUUUUUAAAUAUGUUAUAUAUUAUUGAUUUAUCUGUCAUUUUACUCUAGAGUGAAAUUGUAGCAAUAAAAAAUUGAGUAAAAUCUUUAAAUUUAUAUUUUUCAUGACUCACCGUAGAUUCUGGUAUUUCAUAGAUUAAUUCUUUAUUGGCUUAAAAAAAAUCCUACCCAAACUUAAAAAAUUAAGCUAAUAUAGACAUAACAUAAAAAUAAAUAAAUAUGAUAUAUAAUACAGAAUUUUGUAAAUUAUUUUUAAUGUUAAAUACAAGUAUUUUAAUAUUAUUGAUCUGCAAAAUAGAUUUUAUUAAAUUAAAACAUAUAUGAUAGAUUAAUAAUAUUAAAUUAAUUUUUUUAUUCAAAAUAAUUUAUAAAAUAUAUAACAAUUAUAUAUUAUAUUAUUUUAAUAUUAUAUUUUGUAUCUAUCUAUCAUAGAAGUUUAUUUAAAAUCAAUUUUUGGAUUGUUAAAAUCGAUGUGUAUAAUCAUCAAAAAACAUUUGUGUGAUUAUUUAUUAAACCAAGGAGGUCUAUAGCAACAUUUAUGUUCCCAAGGGGGUAUAUAUGCUUUUUUUCCCUGAUUUUUAGAUGAAUUAAUUCUUAAAUGUAUCUAUUUAUCAUUUACUGCAAAGAAGGUGAUCAAAUUAACCAUAAAAAAUACGCAAUGAAAUGUGUGAAAUGCCUGAAAGGCAAUAGGAACUGUGAAAAAUAUUUUUACGGAUUGGACUAGGCAAUGCGGGCCAAUAAUAUCUAGUCCAAAGAUGAGGCUGGGCCAAGUUUAAGUUUCACUUGAUAAAUUUAGAUUCGUCCAAAAACCUGAAUUUUAUGAAAAAAUAUUAUAAAAUACAUUAUUUUAAAUAACUAUAUUUAUUUGACCCAUAGAUUAUACAUAUUUAAAAUUUUAAAUAUUUAAAGUUCAUAUUUGAAAACCCAAAUUCAUUAAAUAAAAUUUAAAAAUCAUAAAACUAAAAUAGGUCCCUACAGCGCAACCCGCUUAGGUCGAAAGCCAUCCCAGCCUGGGCCAUUUGGGUCUUUGCAUUAACCUCAAAAGGAUAAAAAGUGCAUGAGGUAUAGGUGGGGGUGUUCGCGGAUCGGAUUUUACGAAUUGGACAUCAAUCCAUAUCCGAUCCAUGAUUUUGCGGAUUAUAAUUUUUUAAUCCAAUCCAAUCCAUAAAUUGAUAAAAUUCAAUCAAAAUCCAAUCCAUACAUCUGCGGAUCGGAUGCGGAUUUGACUCAAUCCAUAUCCAAUCCAUACGUCUGCGGAUCGGAUGCGGAUUUGACUCAAUCCAUAUCCAAUCCAUUUUGCGCAUUAGUUUUCGAAUUAAAAUUUUUUAGUUCUCUCCAACUAAUGAAAUAAAAAAAAAUCUAAUAUAAAAAUAAUUUUGCUACCAAUUAAAUUUAAAAUUGAAUAAAAUUUAAAUAAAUUAAUUAUUUAAAUAGAGUUAAAAUAAUACAUUUAAAGUUUCAAAAUAUAACAAUCGAGACUAAUUAUUUAAAUAAAGCUACAAUAAUACGUUCAAAGUUUCAAAAUAUAACACACCAAGCUUAAUUGUUCAAAUAAAGUUACAAUAAUACGUUAAUAUAACACCGAAAUUAAUUGUUCAAAUAAAGCCACAAUUAAUUGAAAUGGCGAAGUUUUGGAAACCAAACACGGUCUGAUCCUUCACUAGGGUUGUUGCGCCUGUUGAAAAGUGGUGAUUACUGAGCCGUCCACGAUGGGAACCAGGAGAAGCCGUACGGGUGGCGAUCUUGAAGGUUGUGAUAGUGAAAUUGUUCAGCUGGAACCAGUGAAUGUGAAGUGGCUCGAUGGACUUGGGAAAGAAGAUGGCUUGCUCUCACUGGGAUCGCACGGCCGAUGUCCUUCAAAUCCGUGUCGAGAGUGUAUCCAACCAGUAUUGAGUGUUGUUAGUGUGCGUGACGACGGAGAAGCUUAGGGUUUUUUGUUUGCAAAUUGUUGGUGACUUGACAACAUGUUAUUUUACUUUUGGGUGACUUUGCAAAUUGUUGGUGACUUGACGUUAUGUUACUUUACUUUUGUUAGUGCGUGUGACUUUGCUUUUAUUUUGUUUUACAAUUUUUACACGUUAUAUUUGUAUAUUUGAUUAUUUAAUUAUUUUUUAUUUUUUAUUAUUAUUGGGUAAUGGCUAAGAUAUGUUAUAGUGCUUAUGUAACUAUGUAAUGUCACAUUUAUAAUUUUUUUAAUUAAAUUUAUAAUAAUUUUUUAAUUAUCUAUAUAUAUAUAUAUAUAUAUAUAUUAUUUUAUUUUUUUUGUGCGGAUUCACGGAUUUUUACAGAUUUACAGAAGUAAAUUCAUAUCCAAUCCAUCAAUCCACGGAUCGGAUUUAUACGAAUCGGAUUGAGUGGAUCAGACGGAUUGAGUGGAUCGGAUUGGAUUCUGAACACCUCCAGGUAUAGGUUUUAACCGAAAGAACUUCUUGCGCAAUUCAUGCGUUUCUGCUUUUAUGACCAGAAAUUGUUUCUUGAUUUGAUUUCCAUUUCAAAUUGUUCUCUGGACUUUUUAUCAAUAUGAGGUGAUUGCAAAUAAACAUAUAUAAUAUUAUAAAAUAUAAAUCUGGAUUUUUUAAGCCCAUAAAAGAAAGUCCAUUUGGGGCCGAGAUUUUAGGCUCAACCUCAGUGUUCAAAAAAACAUGCUUGGGCCAAAUUUGAGUAUUGCCAUAUCCGGGACCGACUUGAGUUUUUACCAUGACUAAGCAUAAUCAAUUGGUUCAAAUAAUUUAAUUUCCGGUAAAAUGAUGUGAAAAAUUGUGAAUCAAUUUGGUAAUCUCGUAGAGGCCACUUUGUAACACAGUAAAAGUAUUCAAUUGAUCUGAAAUCAUUGAAUAAUUUUUUGUUGAGGAAGGAUGUCACGUACAACAACAAGAAACAUAUAAUGCUACAAUAAAUUUAGAUCAGCAAUAAUGUUUAGGAUCCUAACAUUUGAGUCUCAACUUGACUCUCAAUGAUAUGUGUCACUCAUCAAUUGAAUAAUGGAUAUAAUAUCUAGUAAAAUUAUUUAACCACCAUUCAAUAGAUGAAUUCCACGUCAGUAGGAACUCAAAUUAAGACUUAUGUUGGGACAUCUAGCAUUGCUCUUCACAUCAGUGGUGAGGCUCCAAGUGGGUUGGGAAAUUUUUAGAAAAUUUACAAAAAUAUCAUAAUGCAAAGUUUAUAAAAUUGCCACUAUUUUAUUUACAGUAGUACCACUCUAUUAAUUUACAAUUUUGUCAUUCAAAUAAAUAUACAGAAAAAAGGGAGCAUUUACUUCAUUCAAGAUUCCAGAACGUGCUUUCUUUCUUGGCUUCUUCAGUUCUUCGUCUUCUUCUUGACAAGAAUAGAUAAUACAUUUAUUGUUUAUUCAAUCAUUUACAGUACACUUAUUAAUUGUUAGGUAGUAAAGACUAAAGAUUAUAUUAUUUAAUUCUUGUUCCAAUUUCAUUGUGUAAAAUUAAAUUAUUGUUGGGUCAAAUGAAGAUAAUUUAGCCAUUAAAUUCUAGCAUUCAAAAAUUUAAAUUAAUUAUUGAUAGAGAUGGAUCAUAGAUUCAAUUCAGUACAUUAUACAUAAAGUUAAUUUGUUAAUUGAAUUUAUUGUUUGGCUUCUGGAUAGUGUUAAUGUGUCGUAGUGACAGAUUGACGGUUCUAUGACUUUUAUUAGUAAAUUUGUGAUUAUUUCUUCUAACUUCUUUUAUAUUUAUACCAUGUUUUGACUGAAACACCCAAACGAGCAUAGACACGACUUCAAAAUAAGGAAGAGAAUGAAUUUUUAUCAAAUUGUAUAGUUAUCUACGUUAAAAGAGAAUUUGUAAACACCGUUAAUUUAAAUUCGAUAAUAGAUGGAUUUAAUUCUCGAAAGUAUGGUAAAUUACUUCUUAGACAUGAUAUAUUUUCUUAUGUAUAACAAAAUUUUCUUUCAAAUUUAUAUUUUUAACCAAGAUAAUAUUUGGAUUUGGAAAAAAUUUAGCCUACCCAAGAUAUUUUUUCUGGCUUCGCCCCUGAUUCAGAUCAUCUAAACUUCCAGAAAUUUCAGAUAAAUAUUACUCCAUUUUGAUUUGUUAUUGUUUCUCAUAUAUUUGCAUAAACACAUUACAUUGUUUUUGCGCUCACUGCAGAAGAUACAAUGAUUUAGUUUUACUUACAACACUGCAUAGGAACUCAAUACAAUAUUCACUAAAUGCUUGUGGAAAGUGCAGAAAGGUACUGAUAGGGUCUCGUAUGAGAACACAAUGAUUUUACCCACAACAGAACCUAGGAACUACAUGCAAUUGCAAAAUCGGUACUAAGAAGCAGAAUACCAAUGCCCUUUAUGAAGGUUUCCACGAAGACAGAGGUGGAGUUUCAGAGUCUUCGUAGGUAGGAGUGACACCCCCAUACCGAUGACCCCUUACAGCAUCUGCUGAAGCAAUAGAUUCAAGCUCAGCCAUUUCUUCUGGAGAAAGUUUCACUGACAGAGCUUUAAUAUUUUGAUUGAGGUUUUCAAUCUUGGUGGUUCCAGGAAUCGGACACACGUCAUUUCCUUGGUGAUGAACCCAUGCUAAUGCAAGCUGAGAUGGGGUGCAUCCUUUCUUUACUGCUAUUUCAUUAACACGUUCAAAUAGCUUUUUGUUAUGCUCUAAAUUUUCAGGUUGGAACCUCGGUAGAUGCUGCAAGAUUUAGAAAACAGCUCAGUACCAAAACUGAACUGCAAUUGAAUCAUUAAAAAAAAGAACAUCAUUUUGGAUAAGAGUAAUGAUACAGCCACAAACUCUUGUACAAACUUAUUUUGUACAAACUGAUGUGGCAUGAUAAGAUUGGUUGAAUUAAAUAUCACUUGGCCCACAUGAUUUAUUUUUAUUAAUUUAUAUUUUCAUUCAACCAAUCUUAUCAUGCCACGUCAGUUUGUACAAAAUAAAUUUGUACAAGAGUUUGUGGCUGUAUCAUUACUCUUUGGAUAAAGCAUGAUUUUAGAGGAGGUUUAUGUAAAAUUCAAUAGACCAGAAAACAAAGAAAAAGGACUAGUCGGGGACUUCUCCUAGGUGGAGGAUGUUUAUAGUAAAACAUUUUGGCAUGUUAGACAAAGGUCUCACAAGAAAUAAACUCUCCUUGGACUUGUCAAUUGAUUUCACAUUGACGUGCAUAGGCAAAGCAAUAUAACAAAAAUGGAAACUGCCACAAGGAUGUAGAAGUUUGGAAGAGUCAUUACAGCUAAACUUCUUGAGCAUCCAGUAAUAGUUUUGAGGUAAUGGAACAAUUUUUUUCCCUCAUUUUUUUUUUCACCUCUAUACAACUUAAGGGGUAUUAUCAUGUAUAUAAAUUGAAUCAGUCAUGUUAAAAUUUUCUGUCCAUCAAUGAAGUAAUUGCAUAGAUAAUUCCUCAUAUUUUCAAUGCAAAGAAAGCUUUUGCUCAUAUUUGAGGAGGUUAAUGAACAUAAUCUGAGGGAAACAAUUGAAAUCUAUGAAGAAUUUCAGAGCUAUAGAGUAAAACUAAACAAGAAUUAUUAUUGUAUUGCUAAAUGAGAAUGAAUGUGUAAUAAAGAAGACAAGUAAUGUAAAUAUGAUGAAAGUAAAAAUACACGAUUAGUAAACACCAAACAUUUAGCUAAUGAUGAAUAAGUUUUGGUAGACAAGUCACUUCAAAAAGGAUUACAGUGUAUUCAGUCCUUAGUAAUUGAAUUUUCAUUUUUCCUCAAUCCUCUCGAUGCAAUCCAUACACAGGCAACUUCAGUGUAAUUAGACGAUCGAAAUGAACUAGUAGAAUAUCUAAGAAAGAGAAUUCUUAAACAAGUCCUACUGGGUUAGGUUAGAAUAACUAUAACUAUGGCUCUAGAUAAAUAUCAGAGGUUUAUAAGAUAAAAUAGUAUGCAAGUCACUGUAGAGUAUCUUGAGAGAAGGUUUUAAACAUGCUUGCAGACAUCGAAUAAUAAAUGCAUGGUAGGCUUACGGACAUGUCUAGAAUCAUCCGGUGCAAUGCUUUCAACCAACUUUGGCCCGGAUGAAAGAAACCCACGUCCUAGAGGACUGUAAGCAACAAUUCCAAUGCCAAGUUCCCUGAGCAGAGCAACCACCAAAAUUGCGUUAGCAUGCAAAUGUUAAAUCAUCUACUCAUAAUUUCUUUUCCUUUCAACUAGGUCAAAACAAUUCAUUUGGCCCAAAUAAUGUCUUACCUGCAAGUAGGAACAAUCUCUUCCUCCACAUCUCGUGACCACAAGGACCAUUCCAACUGCACAGCUGUUAUUGGAUGGACGGCGUGAGCUCGUCUAAUUGUUGAAGCAGAAGCCUCGGAUAGACCUAUAUACUUUAUUUUACCCUCUUCAACUAGUUUCUUGAGUUCCCCAAUCUUACAAAACAACACAAGUAAAAGAAUUAGUACAUGAUAACAGAAACCUCACCCACCGAAGUGACCCAUGUCUGUAUUUUUAAAUAUUCUGUGUUUCAUGUUCAUUGGCAGCCGAGCUACCCAGAGACUAACAGACUAAUAUAGUUUAACAUGCAUGAUUGAGACAAAUAUAUAAAUUAAAAGCGACAAACCGUGACUUCAAUGGGGACUUUAGUGUCAAUGCGAUGUUGGUAAUAAAGAUCAAUACAGUCAACAUCCAGACGCUUCAAGCUGGCCUCACAUGCAGCUCUUACAUAAGCAGGAUCCCCACAGAAUGAGUACUGGCCAUCCUCAUAUCUGAUACCAAAUUUAGUAGCCAAUUCAACUCUUCCUCUGUACCCUCCUUUCAGAGCCUAAUCCCAAAACCAAAUUAAUCAAAGUGAAUAUAUUAUUAUUUGCCAAUUCCAAACAUACCCUUUUGAAAUUAAAGGAAGGAAAUAGAAGAUAAAUUACAUUACCUUGCCCAGAAGGAUUUCAUUUGUGUGAGGUCCGUAAGCAUCGGAAGUGUCAAGUAAAGUGAUGCCACUGUCAAUGGCAUGGUGGAUCAAGGCUAUCAUAUCGGAUUCGGGCUUCGGGGGCCCGUAGAAGGCGGACAUGCCCAUGCAUCCUAAGCCUUGCGCUGAAACCUCUAGACCUUGUGAACCCAGCUUGAUUCUCUUCACUGCCCCCGCCAUUUCUCUUCUAUUAGCCUCUCAACUUUCUGUUGAGUGAGGUUGCUGUUUCUAAGCGAACAAUCUAUAUAUGUAGAUAUAUUGCUCUGCGGGCCUCUCAAAACUCGUAAUGCUAACGUAAUGGAAUAUGUUAGCAUUUACCUCAUUAACUUUACAAAAUCACACAAGAGAGUAGUUAGAUAAAUAAUCGAUACGUCAUAAUGUUAUUUAUUAAUUAUAGAAAAAAUGACAAACACAACUCUAACAUUUAGAUAAAGGGAUAAAAAUGUCUCUAACGUUUUGAAAAAGAAAUUUACACCUCUAUUCACUAAUGAAAACAAUUACUUUUAACGAAAAUAGUAAUUUUAAUAUAUAAUUACCGUUAUACUAUUUUAGCACAUAAAAAUAUAAUUAUUAAUUAUCUGAUUUGUCCAUAUAUUGUUAAUAAAAUUACAAAAAUACUCUCAUUGACCAAUUCCUCUAUUUAAUUUUUUAUCAAAUUAUCUCUUCAAGCCAAAUAAAUUUAAUCCAUUAUCAAUUUUUAUGUCUAUUGGAUAUGUUAUUUAAUACAAUUAAGAUAAGAUUUUUGUAAUUAUUGUUGUAACCAGCCCUUUUUAUUUUAUUUUGUUGAUUAUACAAGUUAAAAUGAUUGACAUGUAGAGAAUUGUUAUUCUUAUGGCAUUAAUAACUAAUUUUAUUUAUUUUUAUUCUUGAGUAAUGGAUUAAAUUUAUUUGGCUUGAUGAGAGAAUUUGAUAAAAAUUUAAACAAUUAUUUGAGCAAUGAGGGUAUAUUUAUAAUUUUAUUAACAAUAUAUGGACAAAUUGGACAAUUAACAAUUAUUUUUUUAUGUGUUAGAACGGUAUAACGGUAAUUAUCUAUUAAAAUUACUAUUUUCGUUAAAAAUAAUUGUUUCUAUUAGUGAAUGGGGACGUAAAUAUCUUUUUUAAAAUGUUAGAAAAUUUUUAUCCCUAUGUCUAAAUAUUGAGGGUGUGUUAGUCAUUUUCCCUUAAUUAUAUUACUGGCAUAAUGCUUCACAAAUAUUUUAAAAUCUUUCCAAUCGAACAAUUAAAAGUUGGCCCAAACUGGCGGCUAAGGGCUGUCAAAUUAACAAGAUGUGGGAGUAUGAUUUUAUCAUAUCAUGAUAAUGGAAGCACUUGAGAAGCCAGGUCUUUCAUGGGACCAAAAGAAAUAUUGGCUUCUACUCAAGUUGGUUGCUUCCUUGGCUUGAGACCUGUAAAGCUGGAACUUGUUCAACAAAGACUUGGCAAAAUCCAUUGCCUUUAAUCUGUUUUUAACAUAAAGUAUAAUAACAUGGCCAGUGGCAAAUUGGGAAUGUCAACUAGUAUCCACUAUUUAUUUGAUUAUUUCUAUGAUUUUAAGAUCUGCCCUUGGAAUCUGGACUUUGUGGUGCUGGAUGUAUUUGAUUAUAUAAAUGUACUAAUAUCGCUCUCAUGAGAUGAUUACUGAAUUUGAGUGGACCAAAAAAGUUAAAAGAUUAAUAAAUUAAUUAAAUUGGAGAUUUGGAGUCAUAAUCAAGUGUUUGCAUGGUGGUCGUGGAAAUAUUUUGGAUCCCACCGUGGAUUUACAAUAUAAAUGUUGAAGGCGCUGUUGAUCCCACUGUCCCACAUGGCAUGACUUUGCAACAUCUCAUCUGCUUUAUAUUAGAAAUCCUAGAAAUUAACCAGAUGUGGGAGUAAUAAUAAUUCUCCACUAAAAAAGCCAAAUCCAGGGCUGCGCCGGCUUCGCCUGCACCACGAGCAAAGGCCCACUUAUUUGCGUCACCCAUUACAGCAUCUGAUAUGGAUUAAACCCAAACACUUAAAGUAGGAUUUAGUUCAAAAAGUUUUAAUUUAAGUUGGAGUAUUUAUUUUUCUUUUUUUUCAAUGUUUAUAAUGAGGUUCAACAUUUAAAAUAAACAACAUAUUACUAUUAUUUUUAAAAUUUAAGAGGAAAAAUAGAAUUUGAGUUUUUGAGAAUGAAAUAUAUAGAGAAAUAAAAUUAUAUGGCUAUUGAAAUUUGAACCAAGUCUCUAAAAUCACUAAAAAGCACAAUUAUCACUAAAUUAUAAGUAUUUUGUUAUAUAAAAAAUAUGCCCAAAUUCUUUUUAUUUAAUUUUUUUAGAAAGAGCUCAGGGUACAUUUUAAAGGAAAAGUAAUGGUCUAGGAAAGGCUUCAUAAUUGCCCAGGAGGAGCCGCCCAUGACUGUCACUAUCUUUCAAAAAAUUUUGACAAAAAAAAGUAAUUUUUAUUUUUUUUUUGUGAAGCUUAAGGCCCUAUUUGGUAUUGUUUUCCAAAUGUUGUUUUCUUGAAAUAAAAAUAAGAAUGAAAAUGUUAUUUUUAAAUUUUAAAAUAUAUUUAGUAUCAUUUUUGAAUACUUAUCUAGUAUUUUCUGAAUUUAGAAAAUAAAAAAUUAGAUUUGAAAACAAUAUUGUACGCACCCUAAUAUUUAAAUUAUCUCUUUUGAACUAUCUGGCUCUAUAGCAAUUUGUAAGAGAAAUAUUGUCUUUUGAUCAUUCUAUUAUCUUAGAACUAGGGUCUAAGGUCAUGUUUGGUAUUGAAGUACUGCACCUUUUGAGUUACAAUUGUUAUGAAAAAAAUAUUGUAACUAUAAAGUAAAAGUUAAUAGUAUGUAAUAAAUAUAAUUUUUAAAUAAUAAUUUUUUAAAAAUUAGUAAAGAUAUAAUAAAUUUUUCAUCAUACAAAUAUAAAAUCAAAUCAACUUAGUUUUCAAGCUAUACCGGCCAGUGUUUACCAAAUACUUUAAUGCUAUUCUUUUUACCAAAUACUUUAGUGCUAUUCUUUUUACACUAUAGUCGUUCAACCUCAAUCCCAAAUAGGACAUAAGUAUGAAAAUCACUCGAUGAAUAAUCUUUUAAGUAUUUGAGUGAGAUAUUAUAGUGAUUUUUUUUUUCUAAAUACUUGAAAAUUAAUCUAAUCUGUAAUGAAAUUCUUGCAGACUUCUUGUCGUAACUAUAUUGUCAAUAAUGAUAGUCACAUGCUUACAAAUUUUUUAUGUGUUUUUUAAAGGAUGGGUAAAAUCCAAAUCAAUUUUUUUCUUAUAAUCUUUGUAGGAUUCGAACUCCAAUAGUCAGUCAAAUGAAACUAAUUAAAAACUGGUUAAAUCAAGUGCUUACAUGUAAUAACUAAAAUUAUAGAGAACUUAUAAAUACUUUUGCCCAGAAGGAUUUCAUUUGUGUGAGGUCCGUAAGAAUCGGAAGUGUCAAGUAAAGUGAUGCCACUGUCAAUGGCAUGGUGGAUCAAGGCUAUCAUAUCGGAUUCGGGCUUCGGGGGCCCGUAGAAGGCGGACAUGCCCAUGCAUCCUAAGCCUUGCGCUGAAACCUCUAGACCUUGUGAACCCAGCUUGAUUCUCUUCACUGCCCCCGCCAUUUCUCUUCUAUUAGCCUCUCAACUUUCUGUUGAGUGAGGUUGCUGUUUCUAAGCGAACAAUCUAUAUAUGUAGAUAUAUUGCUCUGCGGGCCUCUCAAAACUCGUAAUGCUAACGUAAUGGAAUAUGUUAGCAUUUACCUCAUUAACUUUACAAAAUCACACAAGAGAGUAGUUAGAUAAAUAAUCGAUACGUCAUAAUGUUAUUUAUUAAUUAUAGGAAAAAUGACAAACACAACUCCAAUAUUUAGAUAAAGGGACAAAAAUCCCCCUAGCAUUUUAAAAAAUACAUUUACACCCCUAUUCACUAAUGAAAACAGUUACUUUUAACGAAAAUAGUAAUUUUAAUAUAUAAUUAUCGUUAUACCAUUCUAGCAUAUAAAAAUAUAAUUGUUAAUUAUCUAAUUUUUCCAUAAAUUAUUAAUAAAAUUAUAAAUAUGCCCUCAUUGACCAAUUCCUCUGUUUAAUUUUUUAUCAAAUUAUCUCUUCAAGCCAAAUAAAUUUAAUCCAUUAUCAAUUUUUAUGUCUAUUGGAUAUGUUAUUUAAUACAAUUAAGAUAAGAUUUUUGUAAUUAUUGUUGUAACCAGCCUUUUUUUUUAUUUUGUUGAUUAUACAAGUUAAAAUGAUUGACAUAUAGAGAAUUGUUAUUCUUAUGGCAUUAAUAACUAAUUUUAUUUAUUUUUAUUCUUGAGUAAUUGAUUAAAUUUAUUUGGCUUGGUGAGAGAAUUUGAUAAAAAUUUAAACAAUUAUUUGAGCAAUGAGGGUAUAUUUAUAAUUUUAUUAAUAAUAUAUGGACAAAUUAGAUAAUUAAUAAUUAUUUUUUUAUGUGUCAGAAAAGUAUAACGGUAAUUAUAUAUUAAAAUCACUAUUUCCGUUAAAAAUAAUUGUUUCCGUUAGUAAAUAGGGGUGUCUUUUUUAAAAUGUUAUGAAAUUUUUAUUCCUUUACCUAAAUAUUGAGGGUGUGUUAGUCAUUUUUCCUUAAUUAUAUUACUGGUAUAAUGCUUCACAAAUAUUUUAAAAUCUUUCCAAUCGAACAAUUAAAAGUUGGCCCAAACUGGCGGCUAAGGGCUGUCACAUUAACAAGAUGUGGGAGUAUGAUGACUGACUCACAGCGGGCCUCACAAACUCGUAAUGUCAAUAAUGUAAUGGAAUACGUCUAGAUCUAAUGAACGAUCAAUUAAAUGGUUAUAUGUAAUAAUUAAUAUUAAAGAGAAUUUAUGAUUGCUACCAAAAAUAUAUUGAGGACAACUUGAAAAUCUACUACGGUCUUAUAAUUAAAAAAAAAUGAAUUUUUAGAGAAUAAUAAUUCUCCACUAAAAAAGCCAAAUCAAGGGCUGCGCCGGCUUCGCCUGCACCACGAGCAAAGGCCCACUUAUUUGCGUCACCCAUUACAGCAUCUGAUAUGGUCCAGGGAUGGCAAAAUUUUUCAGACCCGGCCCGGAUCCAGAUAAAUCCGGACGAUCCGGUCCGGGUUAAACCCGCUCUGGGUGCAUAAAAAUACAGAUUCGAGUAGUAUUUUUUUAAAUCCGGAUACAUGCGAGUCCGGUUGCGGAUACCCGGAUUCUGAGAACCCGGACCUGCACUACAGUAUUAAUAAUUAAUUAAUUAAUUUUUAUUAUUAAAUAUAAAUAUAAAAGCCAAAAGUUAAAAAAAAAAAAAGUAAAGAAAUGAAAAGAAACCCUAAAUCCCCACCCCAGCCACCACCUUUAUUGUCCUCUUCCUCGACAUCAAUUCAAUUCAUCAUCAUCCACCCAUCAUCAAUUCAUCAUCAACAAUAAUAACAAUCAAUAUCAUCCUCAACAUCAAUUUAAAUCAUUGUCAAUUCAUCAUCAAAAGCAACAAACAAUCUUUGGCACCAUCAAAUUCAACCUUAUCUCUCAUCUCUCAUCAAAUUCGAUCUCAUUUCUCUCUUGUUCUUGGAUGCUAGAUCUCAACCCUUGCUCGCUGCUCUCAUGGCUGCCGCCUCCUGGACUCGCUGGUGCCUCAACCGACACCUCAAAGAAACUGCUAAUCCACUCUUGCCGCCGCGCGAUCUCAUCUCUCUCUUGUUCGUGGAUGCUGGAUCUCAAACCUUGCUCACUGCUUUCAUGGCCGCUGCCUCCUGGACUCGCCAGUGUCUCAACCGACACCUCAAAGAAACAUCUAAUCCACUCUUGUACAGAGUCAAAAGGGGCAUGCAUAAAGGCUUCAUUGUUCCAGCCUCCAACUUUCCGGGUUUAAAGCCCGCAAUCGGGAAACCCGGAUUUUCCGGGUUGAACCCGUACCGGACCCGGAGAAAGAAAAUGCGGGUUUUUAUCCGGAGCCGGGAAGGAGAAUUGGCAUAUGGGUCCGGAACCGGAAAUACCAAACACGGACCCGGACCCGUUUUUGCCAUCCCUAGAUAUGGAUUAAACCCAAACACUUAAAGUAGGAUUUAGUUCAAAAAGUUUUAAUUUAAGUUGGAGUAUUUAUUUAUUUAUUUUCAAUGUUCAUAGUGAGGUUCAACAUUUAAAAUAAACAACAUAUUACUAUUAUUUUUAAAAUUUAUGAGGAAAAAUAGAAUUUGAGUUUUUGAGAACGAAAUAUGUAGAGAAAUAAAAUUAUAUGGCUAUUGAAAUUUGAACUGAGUCUCUAAAACCACUAAAAAGUACAAUUAUCACUAAAUUACAAGUAUUUUGUUAUAUAAAAAAUAUGCCCAAAUUCUUUUUAUUUAAUUUUUUUAGAAGGAGCUCAAGGUACAUUUUAAAGGAAAAGUAAUGGUCUAGGACAGGCUUCAUAAUUGCCCAGGAGGAGCCGCCCAUGACUAUCACUCUAUCUUUCAAAAAUUUUUGACAAAAAAAAGUAAUUUCUUUUUUUUUUUUUGUGAAGGUUAAGGCCCUAUUUGAUAUUGUUUUCCAAAUGUUGUUUUCUUGAAAUAAAAAUAACAAUGAAAAUGUUAUUUUUAAAUUUUAAAAUAUAUUCAGAAUCAUUUGUGAAUACUUAUCUAGUAUUUUCUGAAUUUAGAAAAUAGAAAAUUAGAUUUGAAAACAAUAUUGUCCGCAUCCUAAUAUUUUAAUUAUCUCUUUUGAACUAUCUGGCUCUAUAGCAAUUUGUAAGGGAAAUAUUGUCUUUUGAUCAGUCUAUUAUCUUAGAAUUAGGGUCUAAGGUCAUGUUUGAUAUUGAAGUACUGUACCUUUUGAGUUACAGUUGUUAUAAAAAAAAAUGUUGUAAUUAUAAAGUAAAAGUUAAUAGUAUGUAAUAAAUAUAAUUUUUAAAAAUAAUUUUUAAAAAAGUAGUAAAGAUAUAAUAAAUUUUUCAUCAUACAAGUAUAAAAUCAAAUCAAUUUAGUUUUCAAGCUAUAUCAGCUAGUGUUUACCAAAUACUUUAGUGCUAUUUUUUUUACCAAAUACUUUAGUGCUAUUCUUUUUACACUACAACCGUUCAACCUCAACCCUAAAUAGGACAUAAGUAUGGAAAUUACUCGAUGAAUCAUCUUUUAAGUAUUUAAGUGAGAUAUUGUAGUGAUUUGUUUUUCUAAAUACUUGAAAAUUAACCUAAUCUGCAAUGAGAUUCUUGCAGACUUCUUGUCGUAACUAUAUUGUCAAUAAUGAUAGUCACAUGCUUACAAUUUUUUUUAUGUGUUUUUUAAAGGAUGGGUAAAAUCCAAAUUAAUUUUUUUCUUAUAAUCUUUGUAGGAUUGGAACUCCAAUAGUCAAUCAAAUGAAACUAAUUAAAAAUUGGUUAAAUCCUUAGGUGGGCAAUCAAGUGCUUACAUGUAAUAACUUAAAUUAUAGAGAACUUAUAAUUACUUUUGUAAGCAACCCAAAGUAUAUUAAGACUAACUUGAAAUUCUAUCACGUCUUAGUAAAUACUCAAAAAAUUUACUUUAUACUGUUGAGAAAAUGAGUAAAAAAAAGCCAUGGAAUUCAAAUAGUGUCCUCAAUAUUAUUGUGAAUACCUAUCAGCAUUGAUUAAUUAGUCCAAUGGCUAUUUUUUUUUAGAAGAUAAGCAUGUAUUUGAUAUUAUUUAUGUUUUGCUAUUUUUCAUUUUCCAAGAAAAAAAAACAGUGUAAAAUUUGUUUGGUACACUUAUUUUAUGAUAUUUAAUUUCAAGUAAGAAUGUUUAAUCUCAUUCUCUAACUUUAGAGAAGAAAAUUGGACAACAAGACAUUCAUGAUUUUCAAUUUUCAUUUUUUAAAUGGGUACUACAAGUACCACUUGAACAACAACAAAAUAAAAAUCAUGUCUGUUAUUAUGUGGGCCCAUUACCAAUAUUUAUUUUAUAAUCCAAUUCUAAUUAUCUUUAAUACUUUUUAAUUAUUUUUUAUUCAACAAUACUAAUUGUAUUAUUUGGUAAUUUUUAAAAGGUUGUCUAUUAGUAAAAUUUAUUUAUUAUUUAUUCUAAUAUUAAUGAUACUCCCUAAAAAUCAUUUUAUCUAAUUUUUUAUAAUUAAAAAUUUUAAAUAAUAAAAAGUAAUUGAAAUUUCAAAUAAUAAAAAAUUAAUUGAAAUAUAUUAUGAUUAAAAAUAAUUUUAGUUCAUCUAAAUAUUAUAUCAUAGUAUGUAAUUUUUUUCUCACUCUCUUUUACCGUCUUCACUUUUUAAACAACUCAAACAUUUUCAAAUUUUCAUUUUAUAAGUAUAUUUUAGAAAGAAGGCUCUUUCUAUUAUGCCUUGAUUAAAGUAACGGUAUCAAUACUGUAAUUAAACAUAAUUUAUGUAAAUAAAAUAUAAAACUUGUAAAUCAAUAUUAAUUGUAAAAUACAUAAAUUUUAGAAAUUAAACAUAAAACUUGUAAAUUGAAGGUAAAAUGAGUAAAUUAAUAUAAAACUCGUAAAUUGAUAUAUUAUUAGUAAAUAAAACAAAAAUUUGUAAUAUAACAUAAAACUUGUAAAUUAACCUUAAGUGCAAAAUAAAGCACAAAUGUAAAUGGAGGAUAAAACAAGUAAAUUAAUAUAAAACUAGUAAAUUAAUGUAUUACUAGUAAACAAAACAAAAACUUACAAAUAUAACUUAAAACUAGUAAAUCAACAUUAACAAUAAAAUAAAGGGUCACCCUAUGUUACGUUGAGUGUAACAUACACACACUCACAGCAACAGUAACAAGUCUCAUCAUUAACACUGUUGCUGUGAGUGUGUGUAUGUUACACUCAACGUAACAUAGCAGUGGCCUAAAAUAAAACAUAAAUUUUGGAAAUGAAGUAUAAGACUUGUAAAAGGAAAGUAAAAACAAGUAAAUUACUAUAAAAUUAGUAAAUUUAUGUAUCAUUAGUAAGUAAAACGAAAACAUACAAAUAUAAUAUAAACCAAGUAAAUCAAUAUUAAGUGCAAAAUAAAACAUAAAAUUUGUAAACUAUGCUCAAAACUUAUGAAUAAAAGGUAAAAUAAGUAAAUUAAUCUAAGAGUUACUAACAAAAAAGCUCUUAUAAACUAAAAACUCAUUAUAAUAUUUAUUACCUUAUAUAUUUAAUGAUUUUUUAAAAAUUAAAUUGCAUAAUGCUAGUUUUUCAUUUAUGUAGUACAUGUGAUGUUUUAUUAAGGAUGAAAUUUAUUCGCAGAAUUGGAUUUUGAAAAAAAAAACUAUUUUAAUAUCUUUUAUAGUUGUUGUAACAUGAGAUUAUUUUGCAUCCUUCUACACUUCUGCAACAACAACCAUAAAUGGUCUCUUAAGUACAAGUAAAAAGUUUGAAACUAGGGGUGGGCAAAAUCGGGUUCGGAUCGGGUUCGGAUCAACCCGAUCGGAUUUCGGGUUCAUCGGGUUGGAGAGAAACUCAUCCGAACUCAACCCGAAUUUUAGAUCGGAUCGGAUCGGAUCGGGUUAUAUUCGGGUCGGGUCGGAUCGGAUCUAAAAUUCGGAUCAAUUUCGGGUCAAUUCGGGUUAAGGACAAAAAAGAGUCAUUUGUGUUAAUUUUGGGUUGUUUAAUAAUUAUUUAAUAAUUACAAGAUCACUUUUAUGCAAUUAGUUCAUUUUAGUCCAUUUCCACUUUCCAGUGACUGUCAUAAAAAAAAAUAAACUGAAAUAGAAUUGAAAAAGUUGUGAGCUUGGAGGACUUGGUGUCAUGAAUCUCAGUCUCGGUCUCGUUGGAAGAACAACCAUGGAUCGCUUCGCGCGGGUCAAGCAGCAGCCGAUGGAUCAAGCGGCAACGGGUUUCGUCAAUGGCUCAUGGCUUCACGGGUUUUGUCGGUGGCUACCAGAAAAGCAGAUCCGAUCGAAGUGAAGUGCAGCAACCGUCGAUGCAGCAGCAAGCAGAUCCUGUCGUCAGUGCAGCAGAUCUGGUCGAGUGGUGUGCUGCAUGUGGCCCGCUGCUGUGCUAACCGUCUGUAGUUUUGUUGCGAGAAAGAAGAGAAAGAAGACAGUGAAGAGAAAAAAGAGAGUUGUUUGUGUGAGUUGUGAGAAAGAAGAGAAAGAAGAGAGUGAAGAGAAAGAACACGGAGAGUGAGAAAGAAGAGAAAGAAGAGAAAGAAGAGAGUGAAGAGAAAGAUUUAGGUUUUUUUAGGUUGUUUGUGUGUGGCGUGUGUGUUUAGAUUUAGGUUUUUUUGUUUUUAAAGCAACCCGAUCGGGUUUGCGGAUCGGAUCGGAUUUGACCCGAUCCGAUCACAACCCGAUCGGGUUUCACCAUCUUCAUCCGAUCGGGUUUCCUUUAUAACCCGAUCCGAUCCGAAUCUGAAAUUUUUCGGAUCGGGUCGGAUCGGAUCGGGUCGGGUCGGAUAUUUUGCCCACCCCUAUUUGAAACUACAUGAAGCAUACAUAGAACUCAAAAUUAGAUAUAAUUUUAUUGAUAUAUCAUAUAUGUGUCCAGUAAUAUGAGAAUAAUUAUUUAUUUAUUUAUUCAUUUGCUUGAUCCACGUCAAGAUAAAUAAUUGCACUUAAUUAACUUGUGUAAUAAACAUAUAUCAUUAUAGAAAAUGGGAAAAAUUAUACAAAUGUCAUUAAAUAAAUAUAGAAUUUAUGGUUAAACCAAUUCAAUAAAAUAUAUUUAACUUUUUUUGUACAAUUUUUGUUUAAUUAAUGAGUAAUUUUUUCUUUAUAUUUUUGUAAAUGAAUAAAAUAUGUUUCACUAAAAUUGUGCAGAAGCAAUGUUAAUUUUUUAAAUAAUUAAUAAUCUUGUACGAAGUUACUUGUUUUACUUUAUAUUUACUAAUUUUAUAUGAAACUAGUAAAUAUAAAGUAAAGCAAGGAAAUUCAUACAAGAUUAUUAAUUAUUUAAAAAAUUAUAAAACAUUAUUUGAAUGGCAAUACCAAUUGCACCCUAGUCCGUACAAUUUCACGUCAUUCAAUGUUGAUAACGUGGCUGGCACAAAGGCCAAAUCAGAGGCUGCGCGGGCGUCACCUGGGCCUUUGCCUGGAUCCUACCCUUCGCAAGCAAAGGCCCACGAUUAUGUAUCACCCAUUAAUCCUUCUAGAGAAUCUGCUAUAGAUGUAAAUGGACCCUCAUUCUCAUUUUCACUGUUUUGAUUUUUCAAAAUUCCUUUUUUUUUUUUUGAAGUUUAAUGCAUUUUAUUAUCUCCCUCAAACUAUUUGGCUAUGGUAAUUGGCAAGGGGAAAAUUGUCUUUUAACCAUUCUAUUACCUUAAGACAACGGUCAAGUAUUGGAACCAUGGUGAAUCAUUUUUUAGGGAUUUCAGUCAACUUAUAAACAUUAUAGAGAUUGAUUUUUUUUUUGCGAAAUAUUCGAAAAUAAAUGCAGCACUAAGAGGUUCUUGUAAACUAUUAAAUUCAAAUCAAUAAAAGUAGCAAUAAUAGCGUAAGUCCAGAAUCUAUCAUAUAUCAAUACCACUCUCAUACAGUUGUUGUUAAAUCAGGCCUAAAAAAUAUAUAUUUUUUCUUUAAUUUAAUAAAAUUAUCAAAAGUCAGAUUUUUUUUUCUUGAUUACAUAAAAAUGCAUAAAAUUAGAGAAACGCCUUAAAUUUCCUAUUGAAGAUUUGAAGACAACUACUUUAAUUUUUUCCACUACUAUUAUUGGGAUCUGUAGGAUAUGGUUGUAGUUUUCUCGACUAUCAUCAAUAGUCUCCCUCACACAUGAGGGCAUAUAGAGAACUCUAAUUCCCAUUUCCUCUUCUUUAUAUAGGCAUUUAUUAAAGUCAAGAUAUAACUAGAAACUAAGCUAACAAAGGGUAUCCAUGAACUUCCUAAAUCCAACUUCAUAGGUAAGUCUCAGUCAUAUUAUGACUCCCUAAAAUAACUAAGUUAACCCUAAGCUAUUCUACUAAAAGUCCGAUGUUGCACUCUAAUGAACCAUGUAACAAAUAAAAGCCUAAUUAAUUAAGAUUUCUUUUAAUUAAUAUUAGACAUGAUUUUAAACCAAUAAUUACCACUUAAUUGACUCUUUAUUUGAUAAUCUUAAUUAAAUCCAGCCCAUGAUAAAUGUUCUUUCUUUGUAAUUACAUAUAUAUCCCUCGGUCACUAUUUAUUCUAACUAUCACUGUUAAUAUAUUUGUAAAUAGAUUACAAAUAAAUGUUAUUAAUUAAUAAAUAAUUUAUUGAAUAAAUUAUAACCACAGAUUUAAAUGAUCAAUAUAGGGAUGGCAAAAUGCAAGCUUAGACUAGGCUUUUUCAAGCCCGUUAGAGGGAAAGUAUAAGGGGUAAGCUUGGGCCGGGGUUGGGUUAGGUUGGGCUUUCACUUAUUUUUUUCAUUUUAAUUUUUUUUUUUAAAAAACUUGAAAUGAAUUAAUAGUCAAUGAGUUGUUAUAAUCGGCAACGAAAUAAAGAAAAUGAAUGUUUCAAAAUAAAAUAAUAAAUAAAGAAAACACAACAAAAAAAAGUGUAGAGAUUUAAAUUUUUUAAUACUAGAUUUUUUAAUUCAAGUAUCUUCUUAAUUAAUUAACAUUUAAAAGAGAGUUUAUUAUUAUAAUUUUAGAUUUUUUGAUUCAUUAUUGAUAUAUAAAUUAGGGACUUAAGCUUUCUUUUUUUUUUUUCCAUUAUUUCAUAAAAUUUUAAUUUAUUAUUCAAAUUUCUAAUUUAUUUUUUGAAAAAAAAUAGAGGGCGUGUGCUUAGAUUUGUUUUUACUUAAGCCCUUAUCCAGACCGUUCAUAUGGAGGCUCGAGCCAAAUCUCAUAGCAAUGGGCUGGGCUCAUCCCUAUGAUCAAAUACUACAAAUAGCUUAGGUAAGCAUCAUUUGUAUAGAUUCCAUCUUGUAAGUAUAUAUAUUUCUAUAAUCCAUGAAAUUAUAUCUCCAAAUUAUUAACGUUUUGACCGUUUAUACAAAUCUUACUUUGUGACGACUCAAAAGACAUAAUACCUGAAUGUGCGCUAGACUCCUUUACCCUUUAUUAGCGUUAUAUUACCCACUCAGGAUUAAGAUCGAUCAAGCUUAUUAAAGCUUGUAUAGAUUAUGAUUAGCAACAUAUGUUAGAUUAGAUCAUAAUUCAUUACAAUCUUGUUCAUUACAUAUAUAUCUCAUAUACAUACUAAUUUUUCUACUUGAAGUCUCUACUUCAGUGAUUAAGAUAAAGUUACUUAACAAUAAAAAUACAAAAUAUACAGCCUUAUAAAAUAAAAUAACAUUUCAUUAAUGGAUGUGAAUAAUCUUUUAUUUAUAAAGAAUUUGUGAUUUUUAUCUUCUAUCUUGACAUCAUAUGUCCAAUAUAUAAAUCAAAUACUUUAUAAAUAAGGGCUAAUAAUGUAUGCUCAAAUAAAUAAUAAAUAAAUAAAUUUUAAUAAAUUUAGAAAUUUUUAUUUUAUUGCAUGCUGUAAGAGUACAAAAUAAUAAUAAGUGUAAUAGUAAUUAUAUUGUCAAUAAUGAUACUCAAAUACUUAUACCUUUUUUUUUGUGUUUUUUUAAAAGUAAAGGGUGGUAAUACCAAAUCAGUUUUUUCGCAUCUAACCUUUGAGGAUUCGAACUCUAAUUACCAAACAAAUAAAACUACAUGGAAAUCAGCUAAGCCUAGGGGCGGCCAAUCAAAUGCUUACAUGUACUAAGCAAAACAAAAGAGAACUUAUAAUUACUUUUGUAAACAACAAAAAGUAUAUUGAGACUGUUUAAAAAUCUAUUACGCCCUAGUAAAUACUCUAGAGUCUACUCCAUAUUAUUGAGGAAAAUGAUUGAAAAGAAAAAAAUGGAAUUCAAAUUAUUAUCCUCGGUAUUAUUGAGAACAACUGUUACCAUUGAUCUACCAGCCCAAUAGCUAUUAUUAUUAGUUUUAUAUUAUAAUUCUCUACUGAAAAAUACAAUAUUAUCUCAUUUAGUGUUGAUGUAUGUGGCACAAAAACCAAAUCAAAGGCUGCGCCACCUUCACCGGGGCCCUUGCCCAGGUCCCACCCACCACAACAAAAGGCCCGCAAAAAAUUGUUUAUAUUAUAUAUUUAUUGGGUAGUGAAUGGUGAUAUUUUUUAUUUCUUAAAAUACUAAUUAGAGACCAGGUUUGCCCAUACUCGCAUGUGUAAGAGAGAAUCCAUUAUUGAGAAGAAAUUAUCAGUUGGAUUUAGGAGGAGUUAUUUAUGAACAAUAAACUUUUGGCCAAAUAAUCCAAAUAUCAAACAAAUUUGAGGGAAUGCAAAGUGUAGACGAGUAAAAAUUCAAUAAAUGACUAAAGAUUCAAGAAAACAUGAGUAUUAUAAAAUUGAUUAAAUUCAUAUUGUGUUUGAAGAUGGAAUAAAACACCAGUAUAAUUGUUUUCAAAUAAUCAUAUGUCUAUAAUUGUAAUUUAUGUUAUUGAUAUUUUAGUAACAAUUAAGUUUAUUAAAAUGUGAGUUUAAUGAGUAACCUAGAGGGUUAAAUAGCCUCAACCUUUAAAAGGUGUCAAAAGGCUACUCUUUGUAUAAUAUAAUAUACUCUACUGAAACUAACCCACUUAAUACUAAAAAUUAACAUUGUAAUGUUUUCUGAAUUAUUUUAGUGUUCAAUAUCGACAAUCAUGAUGUUUUUGAAUGAAAUAUACAACAUGUUUAUAAUGUAAAAAAGAAGUCAGGGUUAUAUGAUGUAAGAAAUUGUUGAACUAAUACAUGUAUAGAUGUAAAUAGGGUAGCAAAAUGAAUUCAUGAAUUAGGUUAAAAGUCGGUAAAUUCAAUAUAAUGAAUUGGGUUAGAAGUUUGAAACUCCAAAGUUUCUAACUUCGAUGUUUAAAUUACAAAUUCAUUAACAAUAGAAUAAAUGAACCAUCCUAACUCCAAAAUUUCAACCGAACCAGUGAGCUUAAAUCCACAUUCAUAUUUUAAAUUAAUCCACUGGUUCGUUUGAAAUUACAAAUCCAUUAACAUUACAAUUAAAAUCCUCAAAAUAAAUAUUUUGAACUAGUGAGACUUUUUUUUUUUUUUUUGCAUAAUUAUAUUUAUUGCAUCAUUCAAUAAAUGGAUCUUCAAAAAAUAAACAAAUCAGUGCGACAUUCAAUUUGUUCACUUAACAAAUUCAAUCAAAAUGGUCCAUUUAUUAGACGAAUUAAUUUUUCAAACCUAAAUGCUUUUAAUUCAAAUAGAAUCAAAUGGAAUCAAUAAAUCAUGAUCUAUAUUAUCACCCCUAGAUGUAAACCCUUUUUAUGAGAAAAAGGGUGUUUAUAUGAUAGAGAAACUGUUGAAUUAUAUUUUUAAAGGGUAAUUUUCAGAAACCUCCCCUGAGGUUUGGGGUAUUCUCACCUUGAUAGAAUGUAUUCACGUAUUCUCAGUGACCUCCCCUCACGUUAGUAUUCCCAUUCUUAGACUGUUUGUUGACUGACAAAAUGUCUAAAAUACCCUUGACUUACGAAAAACAUAUUUUUCAUGUUCAAAACAGUGCAUUGUUGGUUGAUAGCAUUACAUCUGUUUUGGCGCCAAAGGCUAUAAACACAAUAAAGUUACCAGAUCAUUCUCAUCCAUUCCCAAAAUAAUUUACAGCUGAAUUAGGGUAAAAAAAUUAAAAAUAAAUUUAGAAAUUAUAAUUGUUACUGCCAAUAUUUAUGUUUGUUGGCUAUAUAAUUAGCCAUUGCCAAGCUCAACAAACAACAAAGCCUCUGCUACUCAUAACUAAAGCUUUCUUCUUCCUUCAACAUUAUCAAAACAUCACUACCAAUAUCCUCUCAUACCUCCAUAUCAACCAUGCAUCUACAAACUCUUCAAAAAUCAUUCAAAUCUCACCACUUUCCAAUCAUUAUUCAAAGUUGGAACACCUAUGCAUGUCAAUGUAUUCUCAAAGAACACUCUUGCUGCCAAAGCUGCUGCUGCAGGAUUAACUAUCGACUAUCUCUUUAGGCUUGGGUUAGUUGCCCUUUAUUAAUAAAAAUAUCGUAUUAGUAUGCAAUUUAUAGUGAAUAUAAGUCAUGGAAAUAUUGUAAACACAUACAUAAGUAGAUUCAAACAAUCGUGGUUCUACUCGUUAAACACUGUUAUGCUACAAAACAUACUACAAUAUACUUGAUUUCAACAGUAGUAGCAACUUAUAUUUCUAUUCAAUCUAACAACAUUUUGCAGAAAUUUUAAUGCAAAGAGACUACGUAUAACAGAACUAAGAUUUUAUUCAUAACAGAAAUAACAAGCUAUUGCCAAUCAUCAAGUCAUUGCAGUUGAUCUAUCACAAAAUUUAUAUCUUUUUUUUUUUUCUUGUUUUAACAUUAUGGAACCAUUACUUUAUUAUUUCAAUGUACACCAAUAUUAAGCCCUAUCAUGCAGCUUCAUUAUUGACACUUUCUAUUGAUGAAAUUAAAACUGAUGAACAACCGAAAUAAAACAUUUAUGUGAAUCUUAAAGACUGAACACACUGACCCAACACAAAAUGGUUGGCAACCAUCUAACACUAUAGAACACAGUUGAUGAAGAUAACCUUUCAAAUGAAUUUUGUAUUAACAUGUUGCUGCAUACAUAUAUAAUCUUACAACUUUAUGGAAAAUCACACUAAAUAUGAACAGAAUCUUGGAUUUUCUAAAACUAGAAAAUCUCAAUAAUACAAAAAAAUCUAAUGUCCUUAAAUAUUACAUUUACUCCUAAUGGUUAUAAAUUCAACCAAGGCAUGUCAAAUACCAAAAAGCUAUCCGCGAAAAGGAUUGAAGCAUUUUCUUUUAUAGAAUACUAAUUACAAACUUCAAUUUAUUUUCAACAUGCAUUUGGGUUACUCCAUUCACUACAACUAACAUUAAUUGAUGACAAAAAUAAGAAGCAUCAGCCAUAUUCUCAAUCAAUUUUGAAGAUCCAUUUUCAUAUUUUACUCAACUUAUCAACAAAGCAAACAAAAACUAACAUGCACUAAAAGUUCUUCAUACAUACCUCAUCCGUGGCUUGGAAAAAGUAAGGUAUUAACUGGUAGCCCACGAAACUCACUGGUCGGUACUCUCUGACCUCGCGGCCUUAAAUCGUUCAUCGCCCGUAUUGGAGUCCUCAACUUCACCGUCAUGGUCCUCAAUUUAUGGGCAAAGUGCUUGAUGAAAGUAUAAGAGAGAAAAAUGAAAUAGAUUUUAAGCUUGGUUGCUUCGGCUUUGGCAGAGGAAAGAGAUGAUAACUUUUCAUUUUGUAUUAAUAUUUGUUGAGCAAAAGCAUGUUUCAGUAUACAGGGUACAAAAGCAUGUUUCAACUUAUUACCCUAUGGAUAUUAACAAAGUUCAAACCAAUUUCAAAGCCCAAGGUGAAAAUAUUAAAUUUGUUUGAAUUUUUUUUAUUUUUAAUUUAUUUAAUUACGAUCCUACCCUUGCAUGCUUAACUUAUAUGAAACGGAAUACUAACAUGAGGGGAGGUCAUUGAGAAUACGUGAAUACAUUCUAUCAAGGUGAAAAUACCCCAAACCUCAGGGGAGGUUUCUGAAAAUUACCCUAUUUUUAAAUAUGUUAUAUAUUAUUGAUUUAUCUGUCAUUUUACUGUAGAGUGAAAUUGUAGCAAUAAAAAAUUGAGUAAAAUCUUUAAAUUUAUAUUUUUCAUGACUCACCGUAGAUUCUGGUAUUUCAUAGAUUAAUUCUUUAUUGGCUUAAAAAAAAUCCUACCCAAACUUAAAAAAAUUAAGCUAAUAUAGACCUAACAUAAAAAGAAAUAAAUAAGAUAUAUAAUACAGAAUUUUGUAAAUUAUUUUUAAUGUUAAAUACAAGUAUUUUAAUAUUAUUGAUCUGCAAAAUAGAUUUUAUUAAAUUAAAACAUAUAUGAUAGAUUAAUAAUAUUAAAUUAAUUUUUUUAUUCAAAACAAUUUAUAAAAUAUAUAAAAUUUAUAUAUUAUAUUAUUUUAAUAUUAUAUUUUGUAUCUAUCUAUCAUAGAAGUUUAUUUAAAAUCAAUUUUUGGAUUGUUAAAAUCGAUGUGUAUAAUCAUAAAAAAAAAAAAAUUUGUGUGAUUAUUUAUUAAACCAAGGAGGUCUAUAGCAACAUUUAUGUUCCCAAGGGGGUAUAUAUGCUUUUUUUCACUGAUUUUUAGAUGAAUUAAUUCUUAAAUGUAUCUAUUUAUCAUUUACUGCAAAGAAGGUGAUCAAAUUAACCAUAAAAAAUACCCAAUGAAAUGUGUGAAAUGCCUGAAAGGUAAUAGGAACUGUCAAAAAUAUUUGUACGGAUUGGACUAGGCAAUGCGGGCCAAUAAUAUCUAGUCCAAAGAUGAGGCCGGACCAAGUUUAAGUUUUACUUGAUAAAUUCAGAUCCGUUCCAAAACCUGAAUUUUAUGAAAAAAUAUUAUAAAAUACAUUAUUUUAAAUAAUUAUAUUUAUUUGACCCGUAGAUUAUACAUAUUUAAAAUUUUAAAUAUUUAAAGUUCAUAUUUGAAAAUCCAAAUUCAUUAAAUAAAAUUUAAAAAUUAUAAACUAAAAUAGGUCCCUACAGUGCAACCCGGUUAAGUCGAAAGCCAUCCCAGCCUGGGCCAUUUGGGUCUUUGCAUUAACCUCAAAAGGAUAAAAAGCGCAUGAGGUAUAGGUUUUAACCGAGAGAACUUCUUGCGCAAUUCAUGCCGUUAUGCUUUUAUGACCAGAAAUUGUUUCUUGAUUUGAUUUCCAUUUCAAAUUGUUUCUUGAUUUUUAUUAAUAUGACGUGGGACCUGUCUAUGGUACAGAUUCUGUAACAAACAUCUCCCGACAUCCCACCAUCUGAUUUUCUAUUGUUUAGUUUCUCAGUCCACAUCCAACCACAUCCAACGGCUGAUGCUGCAGUCUGUAGCUUACAGAUUCUGUAAGCUAGUCAAGUCCUAUGAGGUGAUUGCAAAUAUACAUAUAUAAUAUUAUAAAAUAUAAAUCUGGAUUUUUUAAGCCCAUUAAAGAAAAUCCAUUUGGGGCCGAGUUUUUAAGCCCAACCUCAGUGUUCAAAAAAACAUGCUUGGGCCAAAUUUGAGUAUUGCCAUAUCCGGGACCGACUUGAGUUUUUACCAUGACUAAGCAUAAUCAAUUGGUUGAAAUAAUUUAAUUUCCGGUAAAAUGAUGUGAAAAAUUGUGAAUCAAUUUGGUAAUCUCGUAGAGGCCACUUUGUAACACAGCAAAAGUAUUCGAUUGAUCUGAAAUCAUUGAAUAAUUUUCUGUUAGAGGAAGGAUGUCACGUGCAACAACAAGAAACAUAUAAUGCUACAAUAAUUUAGAUCAACAAUAAUAUUUAGGAUCCUAACAUUUGAGUCUCAACUUGACUCUCAAUGAUAUGUGUCACUCAUCAAUUGAAUAAUGAAUGUAAUAUUUAGUAAAAUUAUUUAACUACCAUUCAAUCGAUGAAUUCCACGUCAGUAGGAACUCAAAUUAUGACUUAUGUUGGGACAUCUACCAUUGCUCUUCGCAUCAGUGGUGAGGCUCCAAGUGGGCUGGGAAAUUUUUGGAAAGUUUACAAAAAUGUCAUAAUGCAAAGUUUAUAAAUUUGCCACUAUUUUAUUUACAGUAGUACCACUCUAUUAAUUUACCACUUUAUCAUUCAAAUAAAUAUAUAGAAAAAUGGGAGCAUUUACUUCAUUCAAGAUUCCAGAACGUGCUUCUUCAAUUCUUCGUCUUCUUCUUGACAAGAAUAGAUAAUAAAUUUAUUGUUUAUUCAAUCAUUUACAGUACACUUAUUAAUUGUUAGGUAGUAAAGACUAAAGAUUAUAUUAUUUAAUUCUUGUUCCAAUUUCAUUGUGUAAAAUUAAAUUAUUGUUGGGUCAAAUGAAGAUAAUUUAGCCAUUAAAUUCUAGCAUUCAAAAAUUUAAAUUAAUUAUUAAUAGAUUAGAGAUAUUUGAAAUUGAUUAUUGAUAGAGAUGGAUCAUAGAUUCAAUUCAGUACAUUAUACAUAAAGUUAAUUUGUUAAUUAAACUUAUUGUUUGGCUUCUGGAUAGUGUUAAUGUGUCGUAGUGACAGAUUGACGGUUCUAUGGCUUUUAUUAGUAAAUUUAUGAUUAUUUCUUCUAACUUCUUUUAUAUUUAUACCCUGUUUUGACUGAAACACCCAAACGAGCAUAGACCCGGCUUCAAAAUAAGGAAGAAAAGGAAUUUUUAUCAAAUUGUAUAGUUAUCUACGUUAAAAGAGAAUUUGUAAACACCGUCAAUUUAAAUUCGAUAAUAGAUGGAUUUAAUUCUCGAAAGUAUGGUAAGGCACAAACUUAAUAGUGUUUAAUUGUGACUAAAUUACUUCUUAGAUAUGAUAUAUUUUCUUAUGUAUAACAAAAUUUUCUUUCAAAUUUAUAUUUUUAACCAAGAUAAUAUUUGGAUUUGGAAAAAAUUUAGCCUACCCAAGAUAUUUUUUCUGGCUUCGCCCCUGAUUCAGAUAAUCUAAACUUCCAGAAAUUUCAGAUAAAUAUUACUCCAUUUUGAUUUGUUAUUGUUUCUCAUAUAUUUGCAUAAACACAUUACAUUGUUUUUGUGCUCACUGCAGAAGAUACAAUGAUUUAGUUUUACUUACAACACUGCAUAGGAACUCAAUACAAUAUUCACUAAAUGCUUGUGGAAAGUGCAGAAAGGUACUGAUAGGGUCUCGUAUGAGAACACAAUGAUUUUACCCACAACAGAACCUAGGAACUACAUGCAAUUGCAAAAUCGGUACUAAGAAGCAGAAUACCAAUGCCCUUUAUGAAGGUUUCCACGAAGACAGAGGUGGAGUUUCAGAGUCUUCGUAGGUAGGAGUGACACCCCCAUACCGAUGAACCCUUACAGCAUCUGCUGAAGCAAUGGAUUCAAGCUCAGCCAUUUCUUCUGGAGAAAGUUUCACUGACAGAGCUUUAAUAUUUUGAUUCAGGUUUUCAAUCUUAGUGGUUCCAGGAAUCGGACACACGUCAUUUCCUUGGUGAUGAACCCAUGCUAAUGCAAGCUGAGAUGGGGUGCAUCCUUUCUUUACUGCUAUUUCAUUAACACGUUCAAAUAGCUUUUUGUUAUGCUCUAAAUUUUCAGGUUGGAACCUCGGUUGAUGCUGCAAGAUUUAGAAAACAGCUCAGUACCAAUACUGAACUGCAAUUGAAUCAUUAAAAAAAAAGAACAUCAUUUUGGAUAAAGCAUGAUUUUAGAGGAGGUUUAUGUAAAAUUCAAUAGACCAGAAAACAAAGAAAAAGGACUAGGCGGGGACUUCUCCUAGGUGGAGGAUGUUUAUAGUAAAACAUUUUGGCAUGUUAGACAAAGGUCUCACAAGAAAUAAACUCUCCUUGGACUUGUCAAUUGAUUUCACAUUGACGUGCAUAGGCAAAGCAAUAUAUAACAAAAAUGGAAACUGCCACAAGGAUGUAGAAGUUUGGAAGAGUCGUUACAGCUAAACUUCUGGAGCAUCCAGUAAUAGUUUUGAGGUAAUGGAACAAUUUUUUUCCCUCAUUUUUUUUUCACCUCUAUACAACUUAAGGGGUAUUAUCAUGUAUAUAAAUUGAAUCAGUCAUGUUAAAAUUUUCUGUCCAUCAAUGAAGUCAUUGCAUAGAUAAUUCCUCAGAUUUUCAAUGCAAAGAAAGCUUUUGCUCAUAUUUGAGGAGGUUAAUGAACAUAAUCUGAGGGAAACAAUUGAAAUCUAUGAAGAAUUUCAGAGCUAUAGAGUAAAACUAAACAAGAAUUAUUAUUGUAUUGCUAAAUGAGAAUGAAUGUGUAAUAAAGAACACAAGUAAUGCAAAUAUGAUGAAAGUAAAAAUACAUGAUUAGUAAACACCAAACAUUUAGCUAAUGAUGAAUAAGUUUUGGUAGACAAGUCACUUCAAAAAGGAUUACAGUGUAUUCAGUCCUUAGUAAUUGAAUUUUCAUUUUUCCUCAAUCCUCUCCAUGCAAUCCAUACACAGGCAACUUCAGUGUAAUUAGUCGAUCGAAAUGAACUAGUAGAAUAUCUAAGAAAGAGAAUUCUUAAACAAGUCCUCCUGGGUUAGGUUAGAAUAACUAUAACUAUGGCUCUAGAUAAAUAUCAGAGGUUUAUAAGAUAAAAUAGUAUGCAAGUCACUGUAGAGUAUCUUGAGAGAAGGUUUUAAACAUGCUUGCAGACAUCGAAUAAUAAAUGCAUGGUAGGCUUACGAACAUGU